rnacentral:lncRNA from 1 species
UGUUUUUUUUUGAAAAAGGUGUUUAUAUUAAUCAAUCACGGGAUUAGAUUCAAAUGCGGGUAGCUCGCUUACACAUGUUGGAGCAUUACCUCUCCAAACAACAUUGUGUAAUGUUCUCUUUGCCAACUGAGCUAACUCAUGAGCUACUGCAUUGCACCCUCUUUUAAUCUUUUUAAACCCCACCUCCGUUAUCAAAGGAACACGAGCUUUUAUCUUCUUUAUUAUGUGCAUUACAUGUGAUCUAUAUCCUCUUGUUCAGAUGUAACGGAAGCUAUAACUGAUGCACAAUCCGAUUCAAGAAUAACAUGCUUCCUUACCCAUUCUGCAGUAAGUUUCAAACCCUCAAGGCAAGCUAUUGCUUCCACCUGUUCUACCGAAGAGCAAUCUGAAAGGACUUGCCAGAAAGAUAGGAUUACAUAACCUCUAUAAUCCCUGACAAUCUGCUUGGUUGUUUUAAUAGCAGUUGCAAAAAAUAAGAAGCGCACUUCAACAAAUCCACCAAUCAUCUAAACCUAUUAUGUUAAUUCUGAGAAGAAUUAAAUAUGCAAUGAUCUAAAUGUACAUAGGAUGUCUUAUAUUUAAGGAUAAAUUUUAAAUCCUUAGAUGUCUUAUAUUCCAAAAUGGAGGAAGUAUAGGGGCGGACCCAUGUAGAUGUGAGUGAGGGCACAUGCCUUCACUAAAAAAAUUGAUGGUAAGGUAAUUAGCAAAUUUUCAUCAGGUUCAAGUCUCCAAAAUUCAAGUGGUUUUAAGGUGUGCUCGGUGCCCUACUUAAGAUUUGUUCGAGGUCCGCCCGUGAACACACUGUAUGGUUCACUGUUUGAUGAGCCACGUGCACAAAUUCUCAAAAAGCGCCAAUCUUUUGCGGCAAUCAAAAUUCUAACUACACUCCAUUAUUUAAAUUAGGAAGGCAGAAAUCAUCUAGAGGCAGUCUUGUCAAUGCCAAUUGGCAAUCCGUAAGAGCAAAUAUCCUUCCCUCUCGAUGGCAAAGGUAAUGGUCAAAGUUACAGCGUUGACCUAGCAAAUAGCAAACGUGCCCAGAGCCUGCAGGCGCUGCCUACCAACAUCCAUGUUGUCACAUCAGGUCACUUCGUUGCUUAUGGCCUCUGGGCUCUGGCCUACUCCUACAGCUUUGGCCAGAUCAACGGCACAGUGUGUAUACGGCGUGCUGCCAGAGCCGGGUGCAAUGCACCGGCCGUGCAGCUCGAAUUUUAGGCCAUGUUUAGCUACCCUCAACUCCCAACUUUGACAUUAUGCAAAAAGAAGAUUCUCCAUCACAUUAAAUUUGUGGUACAUGCAUGGAGUACUAAAUGUAGAUGAAAUUAAAAACUAAUUGCACAAUUUUGUUGUACUUUGCAAGAUGAAUCUUUUGAGCCUAAUUAGUCAAUAUUUCGACAAUAAUUCACAAAUACAAACGAAACGCUAUAGUGUGCUACAGUGCUGGUACAGUAAUUUUGCAUCUCCAAAGUUGGGCAACUAAAAGGCCUUACAUGCAAUCACAGCGUGAAAGUACUGCAGCUUCAGUACAGAGCUGGUAAUCAAAUAAUCAAUAUUCGUGAUUUUGAAAUUUGUGACCUUAGCAAAGAGCACGGCCGAAUCAGCAUCGUUAGCAAUGGCAUACAUGGAUCUAAAGGUUUUUUUUGGGAUUUCCACGGGUUCCGACAGUACCUAGAUAAUUUGUCACAGUGCAUGUUUUGCCGGCAUUGCAGAAGGAAGGCGAAGGCCCAUACGGAAGAGAAGCACCAAUCAGUGCCUGUGCCUCCAGAGAAUGGGUUCACGCACCUAGCUGACCGGAUAUAGCUAGCUAUGCAGGUGGUCUGAAUGGCUAUAAAGGUUAGGCCAGCAACUAUGGAGAAGACUGCUGUGCACAUGAGUACUAUUCCUUGGCUGACUGUAAGCGCUAAUCUUUGCACAAAUGAAUGAAUGAACCAUAAAAUAGUGGCAGCAGUCGCAUAAUCUGUAACUAAUCGAAAAUUUAAUCCCGCCAUCCCAGAUUUGGUUAGAGUUUAUAAACAUCACAAAAAAGAUAGCAACAAGAACAAAGUACACUACUUGCAUUGCUAGGAUGAGGCAUCCAUGCAAUGCAGAUCAACGAUUCUCAUCGCGAGACGAGGAAAAAGAGUGUUAAACCCUAGGAGGAGCUAAGGUGAAUGUAGAUCGGGCGCUGGGGCGCGCAUUGUCACGUCAUUAACCUGCUUACACGAUGCGAAUGCGGUGGUAGACGCGUACCAAUGAUUGAUCACCGGGCAGGGCGUGCGCACAUCAGUACGGCGGCGGAGGCGGGUGCGGCGCGCGAGCCGGCGGCGGCCACAUCACGUCCUGCGGCUGCGGGUGGCAGGCGAAGAUGGGAACGGCCGGAGGGCCGCACGGAUCCACCGGCUGCGCUUGCGAGGCGGCAGCGGCGAGGUGCGGCGCGGGCUGGCGUCGGACGACGUGAGGGCGAUGCUCUUGCGGCGGCUGCUCCGCGGGGUGCUGGUGGUGCUGCUGCUGCUGAUGGCCGCCGCCGCGGUGCUCGUCCGCCGGGUCCCCGCUGCCGGCGGAGAGCGAGACGGAGACGGACACCGCCGCGUCGUCGUCCGCGGGGAGGCGGUGGAAGGUGGGGUUGGUGAAGGCGGCGGCGACGACGACGACGGUGGACGCGGCGUAGAGCGGGCCCGCCACGGCGCCGCCGACGAUCUGGCCGUGCGGCCCCGCCAGCGAGAUGGAGAGGCACGCGGCGGCGGCGGCGGCCUGCGGCGCCACGGCGGACAUGGCGGGGGGCAGGAACGUGGCGGAGAUGGACAGGAUCUCGUACUGCCCGUGGAAGACGAUGGCGGCCGCGGCGCCGCCCGGGACGCCCCCGCCGGGCGCCGGGUGGCGGAGGGAGACGUUGGCGACGGCGCCCGUGCCCGCUAGCACGCAGAUCCCGAGGUUCCGCCGCGUGGCGAAGCGCGCGAGCGCGUCGGCCACGUCGCGGCCGCAGGGGAUCUCGAUCACGUGGGGGCGCAUGGCGGCGGCCGGCUCCGCCUCCCUCGUGAUCACCAGCGGCGGCUUCGGCUUGUUCUUGGACCCCGGGGGGCGGCCCCUCCGCUUCUUGGACACCUCGAUGCUCGCCCCGUCGCCGCCACCGGACACCACCAGUGCCCCACUACUCGCCGGCUCCGCCUUCAGCUCGGCGCUCCCGCGGCUGUCCACCUCAUCCGAGAAGCACUCCAGCUGCUGCUGCUGCUGCUCACCACGGCCGCCAUGGUGGUGCUGGUGGGAUGGCUGCGGCUGCGGCGGCGGCGGCGUAGUGAAGUGGGUGGGCACCACGUCCUUGCGAUCUUGGUACAGGCGCUCCUGGCUCAUGUCCCUCUUGCCGAGCGACAUGAACUUGGUCGCGAGAAAGAGAGACACCACCUAGCAAUCAGGUAGUACAAGCUGGAAAGAUGCGGCUGCGACAGCGAGAGAGAGAAAGAGUUGUCAAGAGCACGGGCGAUGGCAGCCGCAAGUGAUGCUUCGGCGACGACGAUAGAGGUCUCUGGACUUUGGAAGGGGCGGGAUAAGAAAGCGAUGGGAGAGAAGAUCAGAAGAGAGCACAGUAGCAGGAACAGGACAGGAUGAGCCUGAACCUGAAGCCUCAAGGGCGGGUAGGCGACUAGGCGGUGCCCGCUGCUGGUGAGAGCGACAGCGAGGUGAUCCUUUUAAUCCUCUUGUCUUUUCAUGGCUGCGCUCCUUUUUUUCAUGCUGCUCGUACUACUACCACCAGCAUCUAGCAGAGUACUUUUCAAGUGCUUACUUCGAAUGCUCUAACGAUGGAGUAAGGGCGGAUCCUGUGGCAUCAACCCGCAAUGGGUCCCGAAUCGUGAAAGGAUGGUGCGUGCUGUGGUGCCUCGAAGGCCUCCAAUGCAUGAAGAUUGGGCCAUCGUCACCAUUGACCCAAUAUCCGGGUAUGAGGUACAGUUCCACGCGAUGAGGCUAUUUUACGAGAGUUGUUUGUUGAUGACAUGAGAAUAGAGAUUAGAGACAUUCAACCUAGCCAUCUGGGACAAGCUUUGGUUUGUAUGCCUACGAUCGGGAUAGAUUGAUCAUUACUAGUCCACACCAUUUUGCUGGUGGCUCUAUCACGGUGAAGAAGCACAACAUUAGUAGAAACUGAAAUUCGGUUGAGUUUAAUCAGGAAUGUUGGCUUAAAGAAGCACAACGUUAGUAUAAACUGAAAAUCGGUUGAGUUUGAAAAGGAAUGUUGGCUUAUGUUGCUUGGCUUUAAUCUCGAUAACUGGGAGCAGGACGAUAUUGAUGAGGCAAUAGGCUAUUUUGCUCGUUUAAUCUCCUAGGAACAAGCACAAAUAUCAUCUGAUUUUAAAGGUGCGUGUAGUGGAUCUAUCCAAUGUGUUAGAAUUUAUUAUUUUCACAGAUGGAGAUGAAAUCCUAGACAAUCCAAUGUGAAAUUCUACAGCAUACUAUGCUUGGUGGUUUGCCAGCUAAUGAAGAUCCCAAGCCUGAUGAUCACCCUAUGAAUGAUAAUAAUCCACCAUGUAUGAUUUCUUUGGAUAUGGCCAGCCUGAUCAGGGUCCCCCAAAUCAUUGGCAAUAGGAAGAAGUUUAGCCUCAGCCUAAUCCUAUUCCUGACAUCUGGUCAGAUUGGAAUGCAGCUAACAAUCUUGAAGCCCAAAAUGAUAUGCUAGAUCUGAACCUUGCGCCUGAUCAGGAUGACAAUAUGGUUGAAGUGGUCCAAGAAGUAGAAGAAGGUUUUAUUCCUUUACUUGAGUUGAAUGACGAAGAAAUUGCAAACCUUGAUGCUUUUAAUAAUUUGGGUGACCCAGGUGUUCAAUUGGCCAAUGCUCUCCAGAUGCCUCACCAAGAUGCUGUUAACUUUUCUGAUUCUGGUUCUUUGUCAGGUUCAGCCAGUUCAGUCAAUAUGAACAUUAAUGAGGAAAAUCCAGCUGUGGAUCUGAAUCUUAUUCUGGGUCUGCCCAUUCAGCAGCAGUUUGGACCUUUUCUCCCUAAAGAAAUUAUGGAAGAGGAUUUAUGGCCAAACAACUUCCAGGAAGAAAACCAAGAGAACAACCAAGCUGACAACAUAUAGAUUGGUAUGGUGAGGCUGCAAGAUAGCUUCUCAGUUGAUCUUGGUUACAAUGCUUUUUUUCAGAGAAAGCCAACAGCAAACACUUUUAGAAUCUGGGCCAAACACUUUGACAACCAGAUGCGAAGCCUGCCCAAAGCAAGCAUCCCUCUUGAAUGGGCUGAUUUCUUCACCUCUCUCCUCUUGUCACCAACACAUUUUGAAUGGACCAAAAGUUUCUGGCAUCCAAGGUCUAGGAAUGUGUUUCAUCUACUUUGCAUAAUUCAGAUAGAAUUCAAUUCGGUCUCCCAGUAGAGAACCCCCCUAUUCAGAUAACAUGUGACAACCCAGAACAAGAAACGGUCACAUCUCCACAAGAAGCAUCUCCAAGGAAAAGAAAGAAAACCCCUGCCACUAAUGUUAUAAUAGUGGAUGAUGACAAAGUUAGAAGGAGUGAAAGGCUCAAAGGUCUGGCCAGAGAUUUCAAGAAACAAACUUGUGCAGGGAAAAAUUGCCUUGCUUGUUCUGCAGAUAGAUCACCAACUGUAUCUCCAUCACUCAUCAAAAGCCUGGGUGCUACUUUCUGCCAAAUGAAUGCUGAUGAGAUCUCAUAUGAAGCUCUCAAUGCAAAGAAGAAAACAUCCAAGAAGGCUGUUAAGAAAAGUUCUAAGCCAUAGGCCAAUGACUCUGCCACAUCCAGUGAAGGGACAAAUGCCAGCAAGACUAAGAAGCCCAGACAGGGUGAUGAGUCGAGCUAAAGGCAACCAAGUGCCAAGACCAAAAAUUUUAUGAAGUAAUGGCCACAAUUUCAUCUUUUGUUAUUUUCUUUAAUGGUUCAGAAAUGCUUGCCUUUUGUAUUACAGCUGUAGGUUGUCUUACCUGUGAAACUUUCCUAGGACUUUUGACUUUUAUCUUUCUUUGAACCUCUUAAGGCAGUGGGAUUAUUGGUUGCUCUUAAUCAGCAGUUGCAAACCUUUUUAUCAUCAAUCAUUAUGUGGAUGUGCUACAUAUUAUGUAUGUUGGCAUGCUUAUCUAUUAACCUCACCGAUGAAUAAUAUCAGACAUUAUCGAUCCUGGAAGGUUCUCUCAUGAAAUGUGAGAGUAAGUAACUCUGAUAAGAAAUGGAACUCCAUUAGAAAUAAAAUUUGUGAAGCAUCUUGUGACAUUGUGUGUUUGCAAGAGACUAAGCAAGCUCACUUAACAGUUUUGUCCUCAUUACCUGAAUAAGCUUGCUUUUCUGCCAUCGUGUGGGGCUUUAGGGGAUUCUAUUAUAAUCUAGAAUGGGGCAAAAUUUGAUGGAGAACUAGAUUUUGAAAAUGAAUAUGCCCAAGCAGUGCUCUUCACUUCUCUUCACUCUGGUGAAUCAUGGAUUCUCACCAAAUGUAUAUGCACCAUGCACCGAUGAAGGUCGAGCUCUCUUCAUAGAUUGAUUCAAACAGAUUGCCAUGCUAGAUGAUGUUGACUGGCUUAUUGUGGGUGAUUUCAAUUUGAUACGAAAAUUAGAAGACAAAAUAAGCCAGGAGCAAAUGUGAAUAAUAUUUUAAUGUUUAAUGAGGCCAUAAGUGCUCUUGGAUUGAUGGAAAUUCCAUUAAAAGGUGGACAAUUUACUUGGUCAAACAAACAAGAAUCUCCACUCCUUGAAAGGUUAGAUUGGUUCUUCACAUCAGUUUCAUGGACAAAUAGCUACCCGGCAACUUUGCCCCAUUCUCUAACUAUGGAAACUCUUGACCAUGUCCCUUGUAUUGUGACCAUCAACACAGAAAUCCCCAAAGCUAGAAUUUUUGAUUUUGAGAAUGAUUGGAUGGAACAUGACCAAUUUCUGGCAGUUGUCCAACAUGGCUAGAAUAUCCUAGUUUAUGAAACAGAUGUAGCAAAAAUUCUAAUGGCAAAAUUCAAAAAAUCUAAGGAGAAUUCUUAAAGCUUGGAGGGCUACAAUAUCUAGCUUGUCAGAAUCAAUUGCAAAAUUAAAGCCUCUCAUCGAAUUCUUUGACAUCCUAAAGGAACAUAGAGAUCUUGUUGGUUUUGCUGUCCAUGAAUGGAAUUUCAGAGAGUUGCCGAAUAACAAGUUAAUCUCACUUUUGAAUCAGCAGGAAUCUAUUGGAAACAAAGGGGAUUAAUUAAAAGAAUCAAAUUUGGUGAUGGCAGCACUAAGUUCUUUCAUGCAAAUGCAACAAUCAAGUUUAGAAAGAAUGCAAUUACAUCUCUAGUAGAUGCAAAUGGAAAUCAGCACACUGAUCAUAAUAAAAAGGUAGAACUUUUAUGGGAAGCAUAUAAGGACAGGCUUGGUAAAUCUGAAUUCUCACACAUCAAUUUUCAAUUGAAUGACCUCCUUCAAAGACAUUUAGACCUUUCAUCUCUAGAAGAACCAUUCAGUAAAGAAGAGAUUGGCAAUGUGAUCAAAGAACUCCCUUCUGAUAAAUCCCCAGGUCCAGAUGGUUUCAAUACAGACUUUUUGAAGAAAUGCUAGCCCAUUAUUUGUCAAGACUUCUAUAAUCUAAUUGAUAGUUUUUAUCAUGGAGAAUUGUGCAUUUAGAGCAUAAAUGGAUCAUAUGUAACUCUGAUUCCCAAGAAAAUAAUCCUUCCUCUGUCUCAAAUUUUAGACCAAUAUCCUUGUCGAACUGCACUAUCAAACUGAUCACAAAGCUCCUUGCAAAUAGGCUGCAAUUGAAAAUAAGGGACCUCAUCCAUACAAACCAAUAUGGCUUCAUUAAAUCAAGAACCAUACAAGACUUCUUAGCUUGGUCUUUUGAAUAUCUCCAUCUAUGCCAUCAAUCAAGAAAGGAGCUCUUAAUUCUUAAACUGGACUUUGAGAAGGCUUUUGAUAAAGUGGAACAUAACUUCAGGCUAGAUAUAAUGAGGCACAAGGGAUUUGGCCACAAAUGGAUAUCAUGGAUGAAUAUGAUCUUUAACUCAGGGACAUCCUCAAUACUGCUAAAUGGAGAACCUGGGAAAAUAUUUCGCUGUAGAAGAGGAGUUAGAUAGGGAGAUCCCCUAUCACCUCUCCUCUUUGUCCUUGCUGCUGACUUCCUACAGACUCUACUGAAUCGGACAAAUAAUGAUGGUUUGCUUUCUCUACCCCUCCCUAUGGGAGCUGGUAAUGACUUCCCAGUAAUUCAAUAUGCUGAUGACGCACUUAUUGUGAUGGAAAGCAAUGAAUCCCAACUGCACUUGCUUAAAGAGAUUCUAGGAAAUUUUGCAAUUUCAUCAGGUUUGAAAGUCAACUUCAAUAAAUCAAUGAUAGUUCCAAUUAAUACUCCAGGAGAAACAAUGACAUCUCUAGCAAACAUUCUAGGCUGUGCCAUUGGAUCUUUGCCAUUCACAUACCUAGGGAUUCUAUUGGGAAAUACCAAACUUCAGUAAAAGAGUUCAUGCCUUUAGUCAAAAAGUGUGAGAGUAGACUCCUUAUUACAUCUAAUUUGCUUGAUCAGGAAGAAAAGCUAACCUUGGUGAAUUCUAUUAUAUCCUCCUUCCCAACUUUCCUAAUGUGUUCCAUAAAACUUCACAAAACAGUGUUGCAACAACUUGACAAAUACAGAAAACAUCUUCUCUGGAGAAAAUCAUAUCUAAAUGCCAAGAAACCUCCAAAAGCUGCGUGGCCAAUGGUCUGUCUACCAAAGGAAGAAGGAGGAUUGUGAGUAAUUGAUCUUAAAGUGCAAAAUGAAGCUUUGUUACUAAAAAAUUUACACAAGUUCCUAAACCAUGAAGGUCUGCCUUGGGUUCACUUAAUAUGGAACAAUUACUAUUACAAUGGUCAGUUGCCAAGGAUAAACAAGAAAUGAUCUUUUUGGUGGAGAGACAUCAAUAAAGCUAUUAGAUCAGUACAAAGGAAUAGCAAUCCCUAAGCCUGGGAAUGGCAAAUCAAUUUCACUGUGGGAUGAUCUAUGGUGUGGCACAGUUCCUAAGCUUAAUUUUCCAGAGCUCCAUUCAUUUGCAAAGAAUAAAGGCAUCACCCUACAUAAGGCAACAUCUGUACCGACCUUCCAUUCUCUCUUUCAUCUUUCCCUUUCUACUGAAGCUUACAGUCAGUACAACAGAUUACAGAACUCAGUUCAUCAAAUGUAUAAUGCCAAUUCAAAAGAUAAUUGGACAUACAUAUGGGGAAAUGGCACAUAUAUUCCAAGCAAGGCAUAUAGAAUAAUGAAGGGUCGUAUGCAAAUCCACCAAGCAUAUCAAUGGCUAUGGAAAUGCAGUUGUCAAGUAAAGCACAAAGUCUUUUUCUGACUUCUUCUGAAAGACAUGCUAAAUACAAGGGGAGUUGCUUAAGAGGAAAUCAAUGCAGCUACCCUGCUACACAUGUGUAUUGUGUCAGAAUAAUAUAGAGGAAUUGGUCUUGCAUAUUUUUCUAUACUGCCCCUUCUCCAAACACUGUUGGAAUUUGAUUGGCCUGCAAGUUGAUGAUAAUAUGAUUGGAUAUCAAACUCUGGAAUCCUUUAAACUUCAAUUAGCUCAACCCUUCUUCAUGGAGGUGAUAGUCAUCAUGUCCUGGAGUAUAUGGACAACAAGAAACUACUUAAUUUUUUUGAAAAUCAAGUAGCCACAAUUCAAAGAUGUAAAGGAAUUUUCAGAGAGGAAUUCUCUAGAGUCAUAUACAGGGCAAAGGCAAAAUAUCAUCCGACGAUAAGCUCAUGGUUUCAGUUUGUGUUGUAAUUUUUUUCCUUUUCCUUAUUUUUGUUUUCGUUAUGUUGUAAAAACUCUUAUUUCUUUUUAAUAUAUAACCAGUAUGGGGCCUACCCCUCUUGUUCCAUAAAAAAAAUGCUCUAAGGAUUGUUGUUCUUUCGUAUAGUUUUUAGCCAAUUAAUCGAAUGUACAUAGACUAAUUUCGAUAAUCUACCGGGUACAAACAAAUUGAUAAUAAGAAACCCAAACCAACAAAAUCAUCGAUGACCACUUGAUAAAUAAAUCUUUAAAAUAUCUCAAUUAGACUAAGAAACUACAUGGUUAGUUGAGAAAAAUCGGCAAAAAAAUACUCAGGCAUUCCAAGAUAAAAAAAAUCACUCAAAUAAAUGGUUGGAACUCUUGCACUAUAUGGAGCCUUAUGAAUACACGCACACAACCAUACCUCUACGAGCAACUAUAAAAGACUGAGUUGGUAGAUCAUGAAAUUGACGAAAAGUUAGUCCAAUUGUUUCGAACCCUACUACCCCUAUGAGUGACUCCAAAAGACUGAGCUGAUAGAUCUAUUGCGAUGGGCACGUCACCUACCACUAAAAGAAUAACGACAGUGAGCCACUUCGAAAGACUGAUCUCAAGAUUGACGAAGUCACUACUCGCUCGACGGCCUACCAUUGAAAGAAUAGCGCUAGUUAAAUCUUAGAAAAAAUCCAAAAAAAAGCAAGCAUCCUUUCUCAGUCGAGAACUCAAACUCGGAUGGAUAGAUCUGGUAACCUUACCACCUUUACAUUUCAGCCCAUAUGUUACUGUAGUAUGAAUGCAUAUGUAAAAUGCGGUUCUAGAGUCAUCUCCGACCAAAUUUCCCAAUCUAAUUUCCAUUCACAAAUUUGAGUUUCACGUUAUUCAUAGGUCCUGCACUGCCAAUUGUUUCCAAUCCACUUCUAAUUGUUUUUACUCAUCUCCACACUGCCAUGCCACUAGCGUUAAUACUCUAACCUAUUGUCCAAAUUGAUGUGGAUUUUUAGUUUUUUUUUCAUUUUUUUGUUUUGCUCGUUCAAGAGUUUUGCUCAGUUUUUUUCCUUUCUAAAUGGUUGCUCUUUCGUUGAAAACAAAUUUAAAAAAUCUUUAAUUUUGAUCUACUUUCUUCCAAUCUUUUUUAGAAUUUGACACAUAUAUUUUCAAAACAUUUAUCAUUUACUGAUAAGAUUUUGAGUAAAGUGCAUGGCCGGUCCUUAAACUUAUCUCGCUGUGUCAUUUAAGUCCCCGUAGUCUUAAAAUGCAUAUCUGGCUCCCUAAACUUUAGGCUCGGGUGUCAUUUAGGUCCCUGUACCCUCAAAAUGCAGAUCUUACCACCUAAACUUGAUUUUGGAUGUCAUAUAGGUCCCCAAACUCUUGAAAUGCAGUAUCGUCCCCCUAAUAGAAUAUGAUAAGAUCAAAAUUUUAUGCUUUCAAGCAAGCCAUUACCUUCAUUGGCACAUUUCCAGACUUGUUUUAUUGCCUCAUCAAUUUCUCCCAAUAUUUGAUCAAUAAUCUAUCUUAUAAUCUUAUAAGCUCCUGACCCUAAAUUUAGUUUAGUAAGUGCAAGGAGUUAUUUAAAUUUGAACAAUCUUCCAAGAAUAACAUAGUAUGCGUGCAAUGCGCACGUAGCAAGUUAAGAUAUUACCUUCAAAGUAAAAGAUCAUUAAUCUUUCUGGGUUCAGCAAAUCAAUAUUCUCCACACACACAUUGAGCUGAAAUUCACUUUAUUUGACUAUAAUAAAUUAUAUCUAUGUAAACUUAAGCUUUUAGCAGUUUAAUUGAGAUGACAAUGGUUCUAAAAGUAUAUGGACCUAGAUGACACCCAAAGCUAAGUUUAGGGCUAGAUCUGUGUUGAGAGUAUAUGGACCUAAAUGAUACCUGAGCCCAAAUUUAAGAAUAUAGAUAUGCAUUUUGAUAGUACAAGACCUAAGUGACACAACGAGACAGAUUUAAGGACCAGCCAUGCACUUCACUCUAAGGGGGUGUUUGGAUCUCCGGACUAAACUUUAGUCCAUGUCACAUCGAAUAUUUAGAUACUAAUUAGAAGUAUUAAAUAUAGACUGUUUACAAAACCCAUUAUACAGAUGGAGGCUAAACGGCGAGAUGAAUCUAUUAAGCCUAAUUAAUCCAUGAUUUGCAAUGUGCUGCUACAGUAACCAUUUGCUAGUGAUAGAUUAAUUAGGCUUAAUAGAUUCGUCUCGCCAUUUAGUCUCCAUCUAUGUAAUUAGUUUUAUAAUUAACUCAUAUUUAAUCCUUCUAAUUAACCUACAAAUAUUCGAUGUGACACGGACUAAACUUUAAACUCCAGGAUCAAACACCCCUAAGAUUUUUAUUCAAAACUACCAUAAACAUCUGAUCAACUGGCCAGUGUAAGAUUAGCAGAAGCCCACCAUAAAUUCUUGGCGGAUUGCAUGCAGCGUGCGCUGGCGCCGACGUGCCGGCCGGUGCGCACGGGGCCUGCUUCGCCGCCCGGUCACAGCCUCACAGGUCGGCGAAGCGAACUGCAGGCGUGGGAGACCCACCGCACCGCCCAGUGGGCGCCUGGCAGCCUCGGCCCGACGGCGUCAACCUUCCAAUCCCCAGGGCAAAGCGGCACGGGAGCGGGGGUGCGAGCGACGAGCGACGGAACGAGGCCGUGCGCGCGUUUCGGAAUGGUCUUCUCCCGUUCGACGCGUGCCGUUGUUCCCACUGCCCUGCCGACCUGCCGUGCGCUUCGGGUCAUCGGGUGUUGCACCCGGGCCCGCUGUCCGAAGAGAUACGUACCCGCCGCGGAGAUUCGCCGAAGCGUGUGGCCGGAUCACCGGACGCUGGACCUGGACGGAGGGGGCGGCGAUCCGUUUCGCGGUUCGGGCUGGAGGAUGCGUGUCCAUGCGGCACCUCGGCCACCUUGCAUUGGCGCAGGUACACCAUGUACCCCUUGUAGCUCAGGAGAGCGAAGCAGUCCUACGAUGUUUCUGUAGCCAAUUCGAGUAAAUCACAUGAUAGUAUGAUACCGAAGCCCGCAGAUCUGGAGAGGGAGGGAGAGUACCUUGCCGGACCACGUGGUUCACGGCUCCAGAUAAUAACCCACGGCCUUCAAGUUCGACGCAGCAUGCCUUGUGCGGCCGAGGCGCGGUACGGUGCGCGGCGGCCGUAAUCACGCAGGCGUAAUUGCUGUUCUGGCGGCGCAACAUUUUGACAUGUGCGUGCGCGCGGCUGAGACGCCCCGUCCCACACGUCGUCCGUGGACCAUGGUGCAGGGAGCACGAGAUGUGUGAACAACUUACAUGCUGGUGGCAGAUCCUAUGCAGAUGAACAGUUAUCUUUUUGACCGGCUGGUCCUCCUGUAGCUGUAGCAUCCGCGUUAAUUAUUUGCCUCGGCACAGGUAAAACUGAUGAAGAAGCUCCUCCUGUCCUCCCCCAACCGCGUCACGCAAAGCUUUCGUCCGGAUUUCGGAUUGUCACCACGAGAGCAUCAUUCAUACCUCACGGCGGGAGGGCCGCAGGGGGGACGCUGGGACGGACAAGCCAUGGUCCAUUUGCGUCUCCAGUUAUGAACACGCGACCCGUACGGCAGCAACGGCUCCUCGCUCAUGAUGCCGCGCCGCCGUACGCUGCGGCCUCAUACACGCGCGCGCGACGGCGAAGGCGACGACGAGCGCGGAGCGCCCCAGCAGGCAGCAACGGAGCACGGGGCAUCAUGACGGCCGGGGCGCGCGCGGGCGGCCGGCCACCACGACGAGUCCACGACGGAGCCCCCGGCUGGGAACGCGCAUGCAAUCAUCGCCAGGGUCGCCAGGUGUCCGCCGGCCCGCCGUGCACGGACAGACACGCGCUGACAUGCAGAGCGCAACCGUCCGGCCCUCAAUCAUGAAUGCCGGCCGGCCCUGCGCUCGGCACCGGCGACGGACGCGAUCGAUAUCGGCCAGGGAUCUGGGCGGUCGGCAAUGCAGAGAGCGCGCCAGCGCCGUGGGAUUUAAUUAGAUUAUCGGCCUCUUCCGUGCCCCCACCGGCCUAUCGCGUCUCGGCGUCUGCGCCCAUGCCUCAGGCCUACCCGCGCCGUAUAGACUGGAGGAGCCUAGCUUCGCCAGGAGGCCGUGGCGCGACCUGGCCAUUUAUGCACGACCUGGCCCAUGCUGGCACACAGUGAGGGUCGCAGUGUCACAGGCAGACUGGCACCACAGUGCACGGCCUUUCGAGUUGCAUUUGUUGACCCUGACUGACCUCAACAGGCUGGUCUGGUCUGGUCUGGGUGUGCCACACACACAACGGUUUACCAUAAAUCGGCGCAGGUAUCUCUUGGCCAGGUUUUGUAGGCAGCUAGCCAAGCGCCCAGGCCUGGAAGAGGAGGCUACGUAAAAUCUAGGCAGAAUCACGAGUCAAGUCGCUCACGGUAAUCCUUUUUUUAAAAAAAGUCGCUCACGGUCGAAGUUAACUUCCCCACAACAAAAAUUAAAAUGGUGUACUUAUUUUCACAUUAUUAUUAUCCUGUUAAAUUCAAUGUGUAUUAUAAUAUAAAUGUUUUGUUACCCGUAGCAACGCGUGGCACAAUUUUAGUCCACGUAGAAUCAGAUCCUGAUAUUUUAGUCACAUAGUAGCGGGAAGAUGAAAAAAAUUAGGACGCAUUUGGUUCCGAAGAUAAAGCCUCUCCUUGCCCGCACAGUCGGAGGGGUUUGGUUUGCUUGCCGUAUUGUCCAGGGGUCUCCACGGGAAGUCUUUCCUUGCCAAAGGGAGAGCGGCUCUCCCAUGCAGUCUAAGUGCUACGAAGAAUCUCAAAUGUCACUUGGGUGUGUUUAGGUCUUUACAAUUUACUCUAAAUGACCAAGUCAAAAUUUGGCGCUCCCAGAAACUUUGGCAUGACCAGGCUUCUUCACAGAGCUAACGGCGAGUUUUUGGCCACAGAUUGCCCCGCUCCAAUUUAGUUGCCUGCUAAUGCUUUGUACGAAUGAUGUGGCACCAUUAUAUGGGGCAAGCUUCCAUGCAUAUAUUUUCGGAAACAAACCAAGCAGAGCUUCCAUACAUAUACUGCUUAACUACGAAAUAAAGCAACCAUAUCUCUUAAACCAUUUGAACUACCUAAGCUCCUUGCAAUUCAAUAUAUAAAUCAAGAUCCAUACCGACUCUAUCUUAUUGUAAAAGAAAAUUAUUAACAUGCGGGGCCUAUACUUAGAAACAAGAAUUUUGGCAUGACCAUAAUCCAAACAUCUCAUCUUUAGCUAAAUUUUAGCCAUUGCCCUGGUUUGGCUGCAGCCAGAUUUUGGCCUGGCAGCUUGGGGACACCAACCAAACAGCCCCGAGCAUUGAACAUGCCCACAAAUAACUCAAAACAGCUAAAAUAAAUGACACAAACAGCCCAGCCAGGACACGGCCUGAAAUGUGAAUCAGAUCAGCCCAGAAAAGUCCACAGAAGCAUACAUGCGGUCCAGCCAGCAAAUGGGGCUAGCAUACAUGAGGUCCAGCAAUAACUUGCCAACAAGUCGGGAGCAUGGGCUCAAUAGAUCUGUCGGAUGAAGAUCGGAUUGGCUGUAGUUACUGUGACACACAUAAGGUAAUUUUUCAAUCACCUGACGCCUAGACAGACCCUAAAAAGAACAGAAAGAAUAAGAAAGAUGGUUGUUAGAGUUUUGAAGUGACAUGAUGCAUCGAAAUGAAAGAAAUAAGGUCUUCCUCACAAGACUUUUUUUGGCCUGCUUCAUUACGGUUGAGCAGGCCGGAUACGGUCAGCCCAAACCAGUGAAGUAUUUCACUGAUGGGCUGACAUUGAUGGUCCUCUUUCCUUUCCAGACAUGCGGAACUCUUAAAUUGAAGGUCGUGACGGAAGCAGAGAAAUAUGAGUCCUUGGGGUGAUUAAUCCAUGGCAUCUAGUGCAAAUCCCUUGAACCGUGCAAAGCCGUGCAAAAUACUGAUUUUUUUCACCCAAAAUUUCAAGAAAAGAGGAGGCAGAUGGUGAUCAACAUGUUCAGAGCCUGCCAAAUUUGUUUGAUCCAACCGUUUACAAAACGACGGAGAAAUAAGACGAUACUGACAAAAAGUGCACCACAGUAUUUUUGGCACAGCUCUCUGAAUGUCUUUCUCCCAUUUUGCGCAAGGUUGGAUCAUCAAAUUUGGUGAAGACACAGAACAAGUCAAACACUACUCCCCUUUUCUUAACUUUUUGGCAAAAAAUAAAAGAAUUCCGCCCACCUUAAACAGGUUAGAGUACUUUGCCACAGGUACCAAAUCAUUAAGCCCAUGAAGCAACACGCACAUCCUUUUAUGAACCACCCCCCUUUUUUAAUUGCAAUGGAAUAAUCAUAUACAAUGAAAAAAUAAUUAAUAUUUCUCUACAAACCCAGGCCCCCCCUGCCAGUAAAAUGCUUGGACAAUCCUCGACCUUCCAAGAAAAAGGCCGCCCCUGUACCUGUAUACCUACGCUGUUCUGUUAUCUUACAGCUUCUACUAAAACUACGAUUACGAUUACUACUACUGUUCUGUUUACCUUGGUCAGUGUAGAAGGAUGGCUUCUCCCCACCCUCUUCCAAAACCCCUCCGCCAACCUGAAGCCUGUGAUAGUACUGCUGCGCAAACUCACCUCCCUGAUCCAUGUAAUGGCCUGAGGAGCAAGGGUUGAAGCUAGACCUUUGCCGCAAGUAGCUCAGCUCAUCUUCCUCGGGUAUAACCGCUGGGCUCACUGGGUGCAUAUGAUCUGAGGCUCCAAAUAUGUAAUCAUACUCCAUGCUGGCCAAGUUCCUGGUGCUGUUAGUGCUAUCGCUGCUGAGAGUGCUGCUUGACCCUGCAUCAGAGUUGCUGAACAGCGAGGAGCUGUCGCUUCGACUAAAGCCUGGUAUCGGGUACGACCAGCCGUCGGAUGCUUCUGAUGUGUAUGUGAGAUGGUGCACUGCACGAUCCUUGCACAAGUUUCCACCUUGGUGCAUGCUCACAUAAUUGCCUCCUCCCAAAGGAGUUGAUUCUGAAUCUGCCAUCUUCUUGGGUUUCUUAGCAUGUGAGGCACCUUGAUUAAUCAUUGCUUUUCUUACAGAGUCUGGGACACGCGGUGAACACCUGAUUGAGUUAACUCAACAUAGUUUAGGAUAAUCAACAGAAUCAAUAUGACAAUAUACAGCAUAACUACGUUUGUCAUAAGUGAGAGCAACACAGUAUUUACCUUGCAUAAAGCAGCAUGUAUGCACAUUUUGACAGGACCUUUUUGAGAGAAACAGGUUUCACCUACAGACAACAUUAAAGGCUAUUAAUAAGCUGGGAAAAAUAGUUCAAGUGGCACAUAAUCUAUCAAGAUUCCAAUACAAGGUCUAGUCUUUCAUUGAUUAUUCAAAAACCAAUGCCAGAUAAGGAAAUUACUAAAGGAAAAAAAUGAUUGAUGCUGUAACAUGGUAUCAUUUUAAAUUCCUCCACUAUGUAAUACACUGUACUAAGCAGGUUCAGUCAUAUUAUUUACCUUGCUAUCAUCCAUCUCGUGCCACUUUCCCUGAGGAUCCUUCACAUAACAUACAUAAUGACCAGAGAUGGUAGUAUUCAUAACAUCAUGAUGGACAACCACAGCAUACAAGCUGUACACAGGACUAUAAUCAUCUGUUUCACACAUGAAUUGGGACAAAUUCAAGUGCUCUGGGAACUUGACAUCCUUGCUGAUCUUGCCAUAAACACCAGACUGUUCAAAGAAGAAGGAUUUGCAUUAAAUGUAAACACUAUGAUGCUAUAUAAUUUUGUUGCAAACCUAACACAGUAAAUAUCAACCCAGAUUGACAAAAAAAAUUCUUGAUAGAACACGGUACCUAAGAGUGAAGAAAAUAGCCUAAGAUAGUUAAUAGUACCUGAUAUCUUUUCAGCGCAAUUGUCAGAAUAUUUGGUGCCUCUGAUAUCAUCAACUUCUUUUUGGCACGCUCAUAUGACAUGCAUCUGAUGAGAAUACAUAAGUUCAAGAAGAUAGGUACAUAGAAGCAAAAGAAGGAUCAACUAAGGUAUUGUUAGGCUAAGGAUUAGACAAAUAGGCAAUGCUAAGUAAUGCAAGUGAUCACCAAACUCAACUCCUACAACAAGUGAAGUUGCUACAAGUUUAGAAACCGACAAUACUAUAGUUGAAGAUCAGUUGCUAAGUUAAGGUCCUUGAUUCAGCAUUUUAGCUCAAGUUUCCUUGACUAUGCAAGGUGAUAUAUCCAAGCAACAUCAUAAAAAUGCAAGUGCACAGCAUGUAGAUAAGAUAAACCAUAACGUGAAAAGUUAAUCUGAACCGACCUGCUACAAUGGUAUCUAUUAUCACCGUCUAAAACUUCUGAUGAUGUAAACCGACGAAGUGCACCUUCAAGGGUAUUGAUAUCGCCAUCUAUUUCAACAGUUAAAUCCAAAAUACGUUCAGACUGUGCUGAACUGACCUGACACUUUGUGCAUAUUAUCUAGGGGAAAAAAGGAAACGAUUAUAAGAUAAUAUAAAUAUGCAUUUUCUUGUGAAAUCCGAUGCUGCCACUAGAAGUCUGUAGGGCAUGGAAACGCUGAGUGGUCUACAUGAAGAAAACCUUAGAUUGUAGAUAGCCCCCAAAUAUUAACUGCACCAGAGUUGAUUCUUCAGCUAGCUUAUGGACACCAUUUUUCUUUGCUUCCUUCACGCUAGCAGAUUGCAUAGUAUCAAUUGCAUACCUGUUAAAAUUAUCACUCAGAACAGUUUUAUGAAAGGAAAAAGUCCAAAUUACUCCCCUCAAGUAUAGACAAAGUACGGAUAACCCCUUAAACUAUUUCUUGGUUCAAUUUAGCACCUAAACCAUACCAUUUGGUUCAAUUUAUCGUCUGAAACAAUUUCUUUUUUAUUUAUCCACGCACAGGUGGAGUUUUAAAUUAAAUUUUUGGAGAUGAUAGCAGACAUCAUAACACAUGUUAGAAAUUUUUUUAUCAUUAUUUUGAUAGGUUAUGAUAUUUAAUAAUAAAUUAAUUCUUGGGAUACAAAAUUAUAUAAAAAUAAUGACGAAAAUUUCAUAAUAUAUUUUUUGAUAUACAUUGUGGUGUCCACAAUCACCCUGCAAAAUUUCAAAUUGAAAUUCAACUUGUGUAUGGAGAAACAAAAAAGACAAACUAUUAAGGGGUAAAUUGAACUAAAUAGCAUAGUUUAGGGGGUUAUAUUGAACCAAAUAAUACUUUAGGGGGUUAUCUGGACUUUGGCUAUACUUGAGGGUAGUAAUUUGAACCUUUUCCUUUAUGAAAACACUAUUCCUAGUAGCAAGAUUUGACUAAAUUUAUAGAGGACACAUUCAACAAAACCAAUUAUUAGGGAUGGUGUUUUGGAUCAAGUUUUUACUACCAACAAACUAGGAUACAGUUUUGUUAUGACUAGAGAACAAAAUAGUUCCAUGGUUCAAUUCCUAUAAACGCGAACAGAAGAGUCCAUUUGACUUUUAGAUUUUGUGGCAUGUAAAUGGUAACAUGCUUCAUAUGGUGUUCAAUUAAGUUUUCAACUGUCCAUCUAAAUAUCUGAAAGAACAGCGAUAAUUCUUAGCAUCCGAACUAGUGUACUAACUAAUUCAGCCAAUGUGCAAGUUAGAAAAAACAGAAAGUGCAAGCUUUGACAUGGGGUAUUUAUCAGUGCUUCAUAAUUUACCCAAGGUUGUAGAUAGUCAAGAGACUAAAUUAUAGGGAAGAAAACAGAUGAAGACUUUCCUUUUCCAAAGGCAACAAAGUAUGCUGAUAAGGAAUACAUUAGCUCUAGUUUGAAAAUAGCCUUAGAUAAUAUUCUCAGUCACAAUGAUAUGAUAUGUUUUGCAUGAAUGCAUGGCCAAAAAUAUUGAUAAUCAAUAAAUAGGUGUGUAGUAUUCCUGCUCAAAGGUAACAUGAGUAUAUUGAGUAGGAAAACAUCAGAAAUAGUUGGAAUAAUACCCAACAGUAGCCUAGUCAUAGUAAUAACGUAAACUUUCCAUGAGCACAUCAACAAAUCAAUGAGUUUUCAAGAAACAGGUAUACAAUCAUCAACAUUAUGCAAAACAUCAUCAAUAUAAUGAGCAUAACCUGAUCAGCCGUCACUAGUUCAAUGCACAUGGAUGCUGACUAUAUGACCUCGAAAGUUAAGAAGUGAAGAAAAAAUCUCACCUUAGAAAUUCAUGAGCAUCUUCUUCUCUACCCUGGCCAAAGCUAGUACCAAUCUCAUUCAGAUGAGAUAGUAUUCCAGUAGGCGAUACUGGAGCUUUUCCACACUUGCCCUCUGUCAUGACUUUUUCCAACUCACACAUGAAGCACCAUUCCAUUUUAGAACCUAGAAAAUACAAAAGUGCUACAUUAUUGACCGAAGAAAUACAGAAUGUAACACAGAAAAUGUAAGUUGAGUGUAAACUACAAUUUCGUGAAUGAUAUCCUUCCAAAAGAUACGCUGUAAGUGGUCGGGUAAAUGCCAAACACUGAAGAACAGCAUUUGCAUAGCAGCUGCAAAAGAAACAAAGAUAGGGAGGUUAGACAAAGAGAACAGUUCUAAGUGCCACACUCAGAUUCGACAAACUACUUCCAAUUAAUAAAGUGACCUAAAAUGUUUAACAAUACAUUGGUUACUAUAAUAUGUUUAUUAUAUGACAUGGUAAAACAAUAUAAUUUGUUAAACAUAAUGCAAACAGUAUAUAAUCUCAUGAGAAGAAACACCGCUUGUAAGUUUUUGUUGGACAACAAAAUUUUAAUCAACACAAGGGGGAACCAAGAUAAAGUGUGCCUAUUGCAGCUGCGUGGACUUGUGUCUCGUCAUUGAAGUAAUAAAUAUUGUCAUUCAAAACAAGGAAACAGACAAGUAGACAUACAUACAAUGAUAAAAAAUAAGCUAGGUGAUUAUGUAUGCUUGCUUUAAACUAAUUAUUGUUGACACAUCAAUUUUGAACACCUAAUCCUUUUCCCCCUCAUUUUAUGUGGAUAGUUUGAUUAGUAUUGGUGCAUGAGGUGUUGCAUUUGUAGAGUGUGAUUUACUAGCUCCCAUAGGGAUUUGGGAUUCAAUAGGAUGACACUCAUACUGCAGCCAAUGUGCACCAUACAGCUUGCCAAGCAUUGGAGAAUUCACAAGUAGUAGAAUGGAGACUAACAUCAUUGUAUAAUUAAUUAUGUGGAACCUUUCCAAAAGAAAAUUAAUACUCAAUCAUGUAAACCUUCUCCACUCUAAUUAUCCAUGCUAUAGUAAAGAAUUCAUUAUUACAAAUAAAAUUACAUUAAGAUAACAUCAAAUACAUAAAACCAUAUACAUAUCGAUACAGUUUACGAGGAAACUCAUGUAUUACUGACUAAUGUUGAGAACCCUGUACAGCCUAGCCUGUCUACUAUCCUAUGUAUUUAGCGCAUUCAACACACCACUAGGUUGACUAUGUUCCACAGUUUUUUAUGUGUUCUGGUUCAAUAACUAUCUCAUUACCUUAUGCUAUACAAAUGCUAAUCGGCUAAAUUCCUAAUGCAAUGAGAAUCAAUCAUAACCUAGAAAAGUGAAAACAGUGGCAUUAAGUGCACUUUAGAGCCGACAGUACUAUAUCAUUUAUUUAUUCUCAUCUGUAUUGAUGUUAAUCCCAAUCUAUAUAAAAUAAAAUGCAUAUUCAGUCCAUACUUAAAGCACAUCAAUGAACUAAGUAUAGGAAAAGUAUGACAGUAUGAAGCAGUGAUAAAAUAGACCGGCUCAUGGAUUAACACAUCAACAUAGUUCAUUAAUUAUGUUUGAGAAAACAUAGUUCAUAAAUUCUAGCAUUCAUACUUUAAUGGAAGAAGUGAAUUAAAUAGUUUCUCAGCAUGAUUUAAGGAAACAUUACAGAAGUUAUGCACAGAUAUUAACAAUCUCCAAAUGAAACCAUGCAGGAUAUGCUUAAUAGAAGCACGUGAAUGUUCACCACCAUAUAGCACAUGGUUGCUGUAAUGCUGUAUGCAAUAAUAACCGAACCAUUAAUCAAAUACCUAUUGCCAAGGUUGCAUAGACCAAAAGGAUGCAGUUCCAACUUCUCGAAGUUGUAGAGCUCGAUGAAAUGUUUGUAUGGAAAAAGUGCCUGACAGACAAGUUAGGAUAAUAGGAUAAUCAUCAGGCAAUAUGAUUGUAUAGCGGUAAAUGGUAAACCCCCAAAAAUGUAGGCCGCUUUUGUUUUGUCCUAAGUCAACCUUCUCUAACUUUGACCAAGCAUAUAGAAGUUUGACUUAUGACAACUAAAACGACAUACAUUUUGGAAUGGAGGGAGUGAUGAUUAAUUGAGGUACCCAGUUUUAUUUACCAAUUCUGUUGCAUAAUGUCUCACAACUUUUAUAGCUGUUUGUUGUCUGGCAUAUUUCUUCUCUGUUGAUGGGUUAUUUGGCAUUACUCUUGAACUCUCUGACCUUGCACACAGACCAUGAGAGUUAUCUCCCCUUUUAGAUGGGUUAUGUGACAAACAAUAUGCACUGCUGUGAGCUGAAGAAACUUUGUCAACAGCUGACAUGCAUGGCGAAUUUCUAGAACUUUCAUGGUUAUCUGCACCAAGAGCUUGCUUGUUGGAUUGCUCCAGUUCACUCUCCAACUCAGUAUGCUGGUCAGGAGUAGUAAGAUAAUUUUUUUCACAAACAGCAGUGUCAUGAACUUUGGCGGCAUUACUUGAAGUUGUAAGCCUUGAGCAAUCAACAGAUUCUGCCUUCCCAGUAAACUGAGAAUAUUCUGCAGGGACCUCUGCUGUAUUAGAUGGCUUAUCAGGGGGCAUAUCCUUAACCUCUACUCUAGUCACCACAUUCUCUGGUGCACCAUCUUGUCUGGCACCAAGAUUUCGUGUAUGACAUUCAUCUUUGUGUCCUUUUCUCCAGUGAUCUAUCUGGCAUUUGAAGGUGCUGCAACCAACAAGAAGGAAGUUACUUUUAUUUAAGAAAAAUGGAAAGAAAUCCCAGCCUCUGAAGGAAGUAAGUUAUUUAAGUAAAACAAUUCAUACAAUAGAGCCAUCUUAUUCCACACAUGAUAAGGGGUUACACCUCUUGAAUAAAGGAUCUUAGGACCGAUGCCCUACAAUGCAUGCUACAUUAUACAAGAGGGAUGCAUGGGAUUUGUGAAAUAGAAGUCUUAAUGGCUAGAUACGGAAGACAUUGUAGACUAAGUCACAGAGAGUUGGUUUCAGGAACAGGAGCUACUGGGUCUGGAGAGCUAUUGUCAUCUGCAAAUCCAUGUACUUGGCUACAGCUUUCAUAAGAAAUGCUGUUAAUAUAAAGCAACACAGCUCAAGGAUGAGAAUAAUUUGUGCAUGCACUAAUCGAGGAAUUUGUGAACGUAAUUGUCUUCACCUUAUAGCAACACAUAAAUUCAACUUAUACCUGAUAAAACUAAUGCUUCAUUGCAUAUGCUCCUAACUACAUUUUUCUUGAUUAAAGAUGCAUACAAUGAAAACUAAAUAAAAGCGCGACUCUUAAGACAUUAGUAGCCCAUGUAUUUGUUUCACAUCUCUAUUUCAUUGAAAAGGUAAUAAAGUGGAAAAAAUGAGGUCUUCCAUUGAAAAGGCCAAAAGGGGAUCCAAACAGGGCUUACAGAUCCAACUUCACCAUUUGAUAUAUUGCCAGCUGAGUAGUUGACAUUGGCUAAAGUAUAAGGAAUGGACCCUCCACAUCACAUAGAUGUAUUGCCAAACAAAAGCUGGCAGCAUACUUAGGUAUUAUCUCGGUUAUUUUCAUUUUUCUAAUAUGAAGCAGACAUGAAACUACCUGCAUAUCGAAAUUGCCCAUACUAAAUCCUAUUCAACCCCAUAAUGCAGCACGGAUCAAAGCUACGUAGAUAGAAGAAAAGGUAAUUCCUAGUAACUGCCUUUUGCAAUAUGAAUUCCUCAUUUUACAGAUUGGCUAAGAUGUCAAGCACAUAAAUGUACAAUGAUUAAACCAUCUGUCUAGCAUGACACCCCAAGAUGUGUAAUCUGCUACAUCAAUAAAUCAAGCCAUUAAUCUGCAGUACAUCUUCAGUGUUACAAUUUUGAAAGAGACCCUUGAGGUUCCAUUUCUAGUGAAGCACAUACCUUGCAAUGGAAAUGUUAUUUUGUACAAGCAACACAGUUCAAUGAUGAGAAUUAUAUGUGCAUGCACUAAUCGCUAUUAGGAACUUGCGAACAUAAAUUACCUAAGAUUCACCUUAUAGAGUUAUAGUAACACACAAUGGGUGAAAUUCUGUUCCUCAAGAGUAUAGUAGCACAAACGUAACCUGAGAAAAUCAAUGCCUCAUUUGAUAUGCUCCUAAGCUUUUCUUGAAUAAAGACGCACAUAAUGAAAAAUAAAUUAAAAAAAUAAAAUGCAACUUUUAAGAGAUUGGGGACCCAUGCAUUUGCUUCGCAUCUCCAUUUCAGGCAGUUGGAGAACUAAAGUAGCAUGCAAGGUGAUAUAAAAGUGGAAAACAAGGUCCUUCAUUGCUCAUAAUUGGACAAAUUGGGAGUUGAGGUUGGCUAGAAUAUAAGGAAAGGGCCCUCCAAUUCCAAAUCACACAGAUGUCUUGCCAAACAAAAGCUAACAGCAUAAUCGAAGAUUGUCUCUCCAUACUUUAUUUGCCUAAUAUGAAUGAGGCAUGCAACUAUCUAGGCAUAACUCAAAUUCCCUGUGGUACAUCCUCUGCAACUCCAUAGUGUUGAAGUAUAGAUCAAUGCAACAGAGAAUCACACAAAAGGCAAUCUCAAUUUCCUAGCAACUAGUUUUCAAAUAAUAACUCGGAAUUGUUGAACUUGAUUCCAUAAAUAUACAUUAACUUCCAAAAAUAUGAGAACCGCUACAUCAACAAAUCAAGCAAAAAAUCUGCUAAUGCAUGCCAGUUCUAGGGUAAUUUUUAUCUGAAAGCAGCAUCCACGCUCAAAAGCAAUGCCAGUUCUAGGGUAGUUAGAAACCAAAUUAACUGAUGAAACAAUAUGUUAAGAAACUGUAACACAAGUAUCAGAGGCAAUGCUGGUCCCGACCAAUCCCUGUUGAGCAAAUAACUGAUGGAACGAUAAGCACUCGGGGGUAAGCCACUAGCCUGACACGCUCGGGACCAAAAAUGAUUGGGGGGAAACAAACAAUUCACACUGUAACUCCAUCGGCACUGUACCAAGUACUAACACCUACAAAGUACCAAAUCCAUGGCAUCGCAGCUCCCUAUUGGAAAAAAAUCACACGCCCGUCGCGCAAUGCAGCAACAUAAUCGGCACGAAUCGGACGAUAAAAACGAGAGCAGGGGAGGGGAGCUCACUGACCAGUACUUGACGCUCUUGCAUCGCUUGCACCGGAGCGUCGUUGGCCUGGCGCACAUCGCACAGACACCCUUCCCCGGCGGAGUGGAGGCCGCCACCGCCACUUCAUCCUCCACCACCGCCUCCUUCGGCGAGGGGUCCACCUCUGGCGCCGCCCACAGCGGGGGCGCCUCAGGAACGUCGGACGCGCUCACGAACUCGCCACCGUACUGGCCGUAGUAGUAGGCCUCCUCCCUCUCGGCGAUCUCGACCUCCUCCGCCGCCUGCCACGCGAGGCGGCGCACCUCCAACCGCCGCGCCUCCACGCGCUGCAGCCACCCGGUCGCCGCCAUGCCGAGCGCCAUGAGCGCGACGGCGACCACCAGCGCCACCGCCGUCGACAGUUCCAUAUCCCCGCACGCACGAGCUGCCUCCUCAAUCCGCUCGCUGCCCAACCCCGCCGCCGCUCGCGCCGGAUCCCGGCCGCGCACAGCUGCAACCUUAUCCCGCGCCGCCGCCGGCCAAGCGGAGAGGAAUUGGGGAGGGGGGGGGGGGGGGGGGGGAGUGAUUUAGGGUUCGACGGGGGCGCCUCCCCCCUCUCGCCCUCGCCCCCCUUAUGAUGGCCUCGCCGAGUAGUAACGGAAGGCGCGGAAGGCUCCGGAAGGCGGCGAGGGAGGGCUGCCGCGCGUCGGCGUCCGUUUCCCGGGCGAGAGCGUGGAGUGAGGUGGGGGGUGGGAAAAACGCGAAGGGGGAGCGGGGGGCGGGGGAGUAGCCGCGCCGCGCGCAGCCCAGUGGCGAGGGGUGCGCGGUAGUAACGGCUGUUUUUUCCCUUUCGGCGCGUCGCGGAGCGAGCGCCCCAGCGCAGCGCAGUGGGCGAGAGUGAGACGAGAGCGGACGCCUCCCUUCCCUGGCAGCCGGCUGCGGGCCGUCCGAUGGCGAGGGGACGGUGGGACGGGCCGCGGGAAACAGUGGAGAGGUGGCGGGCCGAGCUGCUGCCCGUUGGUUCGCGGCGUAUUUGCUUGGGUCAAAAUUAGCAGCCAAUUUCCUUCAAGAAAAUUAGCAGCCAAUUGAUAUUGUAGCAGAGAUGCAGCAUCUCCAGCAGAUUGCUCAUAUCCACUUCCAAUACUAAAAACCUAUCAUUUAGAAGAUUUUGAAGAAAUCACUUCCCCAAUACCAAAAUAUUUUUGGCAAUUGCCAAAAACUCAGCUCCUCUCGCCUUGAGGUAGGGGAGAAGCAACCCUCUCUGCACUCUCCCCUAUCGACGGUUAUUUUUGGCGCGCACGGACAUGUCCGCUCCCCUGGCGCCGUCGCUCGGCUACGGAGCCAUGGUAGUUGCCGUCAAGGAACGCCACCGCACACCCUGAGCCUACCCAGAUGAGAGAGAGGGGGAAGGGGAUCCACAAGUUUGCCUACCUCCACCACUGGUGUGCCAUGGCCGGCUGUAGAGCUCUCGAACGAGCCGUGCCGCACCCUUCCUCCUGCCGCCUCGAGCUCACCACGGGGAGGACAGCGCAGGGGCACCGCUGCCUCGAUUACAAGAGGGGGCGGAGCUUGGAGGCCAGGGGGGCGAGCUAUGGGGGUACGUGUGGAGCACCGUCGGGAAGGGGACGCACGAGCGUGUGCCGGCAUGGAAAGGAGGAGCCGGCGGUAUCCACCGCGUGAGAGGGGGCUUGACUGGUGCAGGGAGGAGAAAAAAGAAAAAUGACUAAAGGCUCUGAUGUGUGGGCCCCACGUGUUGAUGGAAGUAUUGGAGAUUGGCUUUUGGUAAUCUGCCGUGGGGUUGAUCACCAAAAAUGCAAAAGUAACGAUGGAGAGAGAAUAAAUUUUGGUAGUGGGAGAUGAGCAGUUUGCUGGAGAUGCUCGGUCAUCCUUCUCAAAAAGAUAGCUAGCAGCCCUUUAAUGAUCCAAAUAUGACAGGAUUAGCAGCUGUUGAAUUCAAUGCUAUUAAUAGUGUAGUAUCCGUCUACGAUUUGAGCAAUCAAAAGAGGAUGUGUUGGGAUGGAUAUGUGUCAAUUACUCAGUCGAAUAAGGGGUGCUAAUCCUGCGUCAUGUUCAACUUCAAUGUAUGGUUGCAUGACGAGAUUAUUUAAAUAUUGUGGUCAUGUACUCAGCAACUUCUUGGUGGACGUUCCUUGGAGAGAAAAAAAUCCAUUCUAUAGUGCCAUCUAUACUUCAUAUUCUUUUAGCUUUCAAAACUACAUUUUUCCCUUUUUGAGAUGAAAUUCAUCUUUUCUUAAGUGCAUAGAAAUCUUUUUUGAUGCCAUCAUGCAAGCAAGGCUACGAAGCUUCCCUUCUCUCGUCGCUUGCUGUCACGUUGUGCGCUAGUGAAUCCUACGUACACUCCUGCCGCUCCCUGGGGCCCACCUUGACGAACUUCUCCGCGCGCCCGAGUGAAUGGGUUGGGGAGUCACUGGUCAGCCGCGUGUCAGCGUCUAGCCCUCCAGCUCUGCUACACGCAAGUCUCCACAACGCAUGCUCGACAUCUGUUCAGACGAGGAAGAUGACAGCCGGUCCCCACCUAUCUGGCCCCAUUUGUCAAUGGCACUGGUGGAGGAGCAUCUGGGUGGAGGGGAUCAUUCUCCUCUGGGGCCACCAGACAAACAUCCUACUCGACCGCGCGGCGGCCGGAACCGGGAUCCUCUGCAUCACCGCAAAAUGUUCCGACAUGUGGGUCCGUACCUCGGCGGCUAACAUGGUGGAUAAGUGAUAAACACUUUCGCGUCGAGCGUCAAAACUCAAAAGUUCGUAUGCCAAUCAUGGUUCAUGGAUGAUAUGAGUUUGAUGCUACAGGAUCACGAGCUGCUAAUAUCUAUCCAUGUAUGAUCUGACAACUAACAUGAAAAAAAAACCACAGCACGUGAUAAGGAAAAUUGUUUUAAGUUAGAUGUGUGAGUAAUUACAAGUUUUACACUAGGAUAGCAUGGCGCUGCUAAUAAGCAAGACGCACAAUUCAAUAACCCGUGAUAAAAAAAAAACUUUAUAAGCUAAAGCGAGAGUAUCGUAAGCUACGAAGCAGUACACAAACUAUCCGACAGCUAGCGCCAAAAACGACGGUUAUAAGCAUGGUGCGAGAGUAUAAACGCGACAACUAGUGAAAAUGCAAGCAUAAUUGGUCAACUAGCGACAAAUAAAUUUGGUAUAAGUUAUGUCUAUGUUUCUACUUCCUCUGUCCGAGAACAUAGUUACGUUUAGAUUUUUUUAAAGUCAAACCCUCUCAAUUUUAACUAUAAAUAGUGAAAUAAUGAUGAAGACUAAUAACAUAAAAAUAAAAAUGACGUUACUAGAUUUAUCGUGAAACAAUCUUUUCUAUUUAAAACAAUUUAUUUUUAAAGAUAUUGUUGGUCAAAUUUAAAAAAGUUUGACUUUGGAAAACCUAAACGUAGCUAUAUUCUAAAAUGGAGGGGGUAGACCAUAGCGUGCAUUUUGAAUAGUUGUCGUAUUGUUUAAAAUCCACGCAUGUCUUGAAAAAAAAAUCUUUCAAUGGAAAAUUUCUAAAACUAAAAUAGGAAAAAUAAAUAGGCAUGGAAGAUUUGCACCGUGGUCCACGGAUAUGUUCGCCACUGGGGCAGGGCGAUUCCUUGUUUGGGAACAACAUAAUAGAGUAAAAAAGAAGUGGAGGGGUGCAGCAAGAGGAAUAAACACAAGAGUGUGAUGGAAAAACAAUAAGAAUGGAAAACGAUGUGGAGUAAAUCUUGCAAGAUACUAGUAUCGAACAACCGGCCAUAGAGCAUUUCUGAAAAAAAGAAAGAAAGAGAGGGACAGAGAAAUAUAAUGUUGAUGUGCACGUGGCCCUAGUUUUAUAAGUUAUGAAAUAGAAUUAUAGAUCACUUUAGCUAUGUAAGUCAAAUUUGUUAAAUGUUAGCGAUAUUCUUGUGGAUGCCGUGGACUCAGCUCUCCACGGAUAAGCUCCUCCACGAUCUCCUCUAGGUUGUAGGCUUACCGAGCCCUCUAACUGCACGUGUGUACUACAUGUAUAACCCUGAGAUCAACACAAUUCUUGUUGUGUCGGCUAUCGCUUUCAUUCAUGGUAUCAGACGGGAUGAAUCCGUUUGCUCCUGGUUCUCCUUCGUUGCCUUCCGCUGCCUCUGCGAUGGCCUCCACCGACCGCUCCGUCCACGGCUCGGUCGCGGACUCCUCCUCCAUUAUGGAGAUUGGUAAUCGGAGCCCUUCUCGACAGGCUCCACCGCCCCAUCAACACCUCCAGCGUCAUCUCUUCCUCUGCGAUCCAGAUGCUGAACAUCCGAACGUACGUUCCUGUUGUCCUCGACCUCGAGGACUCGAGCUACACCCAGUGGAGCUGCUUCUUCGAGAUGCGGACUGAGUUGCAAUCGAUGCCUGCAACGUCAACUGCCUCUACGCCACCAUCAGCCAGCGCCUCCUCGACAUCGUCAUGGCGCCGACCCACACCGCAUCUGAAGCCUGGCACACCAUCAAGGAUGAGUACCACAACAACGCCCUCACUCGUGCUGCCUACCUCGAGGUGGAAUUCCACACCCUGCAGCAAAGCGACCAGUCCAUCACCCAGUAUUGCAGCCGCCUCAAGAUCCUCGCCGACAACUUGCGUGACAUCGGCAAGACCAUCAGUGAGGUCGAUCGGGUCCUCAACAUGAUUCGUGGCGUCAACCCCAAGUUCAGCACCUCGAUCCCCUCCAUCACCAGCGGCAAGAUCACACCCACCUUCGCCGACACGCGCUCCUUCCUCCUCCUGGAAGAACAUCGCCUGGAGAUGGAGGCUCGCAUGGCCGCCGCCCACACCAUGUUCUCUGUGAACUCCGUGGGUGCCGCCGGUGUUGCCGCCGGAAACUCCGGAUCCGACUCCAACUCCACACCGGCGGCUCCCGCCCGAAGUAGCCAAAGAAGAAGAAGGCCGGUGGCUCACCGGCGCCCUUCGCUGGCAGCGGGUCCUCCUCCGCUUCGCUCCAGCCGCCUGUGGGCGUCAAUCCCUGGACCGGGAUGUUCCAGGCCUGGCCCAGCAAUUGGCGCCGCUCUGGCCCCGGCCUGCUGGGCCCCGGCCCAAAGUCAAUGCCCAGCAGGCCUACGCGGCCCAUGGUUCAAACUUGAAUCCGGGCGCGCCGCCCGCUUCGUCAGCCGCGGCAAACCCAUGGGAUCAGGGCACCCUACUCGCCGCACUGAACAAUGCUGCCACUGCUUCCACCGGCGGCACCUCCGACUGGUUCUUCAACACCGGCGCUUCUUCACAUAUGACCAACUCCUCUGGUAUGCUCUGGCCUCCUCACCCCUCCUCUCCGUACUCCCACAUUGUGGUUGGCAAUGGCGCUACCGGGCCCAUCUCCAUGGUUGGCACGAGCACCAUCCCCACUUCCUCAUCAUCUCUAUCCCUGUUGAAUGUCCUUUACUCACCUUCUAUUAUAAAAAAUCUUGUCUCUGUUCGUGCCCUCAUAUGUGACAAUCUUGUUUCUGUGGAAUUUGACCCCUUUGGUUUCUCCAUUAAGGAUCUACACAGCAAGGUGGUGAUUCUCCGAUGUGACAGCACUAGCGACCUCUACCCACUUUGCUUGCCUCCACAAAAUAAUCUCAUCACCGACACCGUCUCUGUUGAUCUGUGGCAUCGACGCCUCGGCCAUCCAGGUCACGCCGUGCUUAGUUUUGUCUUAUCAAAUUUCCCUUUCACAUGUAAUAAGUCUGCUUCUCACAUUUGUCAUGCUUGUCAAUUGGGAAAGCACACUCAUUUACCUUUCCAUGCCACUUGCUAUGUUACACAUUUCCCAUUCGAACUGUUGCAUGCUGAUGUUUGGACAUCGCCCGUAGCCAUUAAUUAAGGUUAUACAUAUUAUUUGGUACUCCUAGAUGAUUUCUCCCACUAUGCUUGGACGUUUCCUUUGCGCAACAAAUCUGAUGUCUUGCCCACUAUACUGUCCUUCCAUGCAUCUGUCACAACGCAGUUUCAGCGCCCGAUCCUCGCUCUCCAAACUGACAACGGCCGAGAGUUUGAUAACACUACCUUGCGCUUGUUCUUCGCCGAUCGAGGUAUAAUCUUGCGGCUCUCUUGUCCUUACACUUCGCAGCAAAAUGGGAAGGCCGAAGGUGCUCUACGCACACUCAAUGACAGCACACGCGCCCUGCUGUUCCAAGCCUCCAUGCCACCUCAUUUCUGGGUGGAAGCUCUGUCCACGGCCACAUACCUGCUCAACCGCAAACCGUGCACACGUUGAUAGGGUCCGUCACGCCACAUGAACUCCUCCUCGGCCGGCCACCGGCUUACGAACACUUACGCGUCUUCGGGUGUUUGGGCUAUCCUAACCUUAGCUCCACCAUGCCUCACAAGCUUGCACCUCAGUCUACUCGCUGCGCCUUCCUUGGUUACUCCCCUGACCACAAGAGAUACCGGUGCCUGGACCUAUCCACACGCCGUGUCAUCACGUCGAGGCAUGUUGUCUUUGACGAAUCCACAUUCCCAUUCGCGCCACCCACGGAACAUGACGCGAGCAGCCCACAGUUGACGGAGCUACCGGAUACACAUCCUAACCCUCUGCAGGACACGAUGGGACCAGGCUGUACAUCAUCGGUACCACGACACGCGCCAGUGCUACCUCAAGCAUAGCAACGCCACUAGGACCCCUCGACAUCACGGCAAGCUGCAGCAUCGUCGUCACAAGCUUUUACUCCGUCCUCGACAGCACCAUCUGGACGUUGUAGUGCAUCCGGCACACCCCUAGCAACGACAUCGAGCUCGCACCAGCGCCGCACGACAUCUACACCAUCACCGUCGCUCGCGUCCUCGACACUGGUGACCCGCGUCUCCACCCCAGGCGACACUGGUGCCUGCGUCCCUCCUUGGAAAUACAAGCAUUAGUCCCGGUUGGUAAGCCUCAUAUCUCUCGAAAAACUAACCGGGACUAAUCAUUCGGGACUAAAGGUCCCCCUCUUUAGUCCCGAGUUAUUCACCCGGGACUAAAUACUUUCUUUAGUCCCGGUUGGUAUUAACCGGGACUGAAAGGUUCCAAAAAAAUAAAAAAAGCUAGCCUCCAUCCCUGCUCGUGCCACCGCCCAGCUCCGCCUUGACCACUGUACCACCUCCUUGAGCUCCAACUCCACCACCUCCUUGAGCUCCAACUCCACCACAGAGACAAUCAAAAUAAUUAACACUUCGCAAAUUGAAGCAAGAAACAUAUAUGCUCAUCUCACAUGAUCAUCACACAAGUGAGAACACACAACCAAUCAAUUUGCACAAGAUCUGAUUCACAACACAUGAGUUCGAUUUGAUUCACAACACAUGGAGGAUUCACAAGCACAAUCGCAAAUGAAUCAUUCACAAACAAAUCACAAACUACAAAAUCACUCACAAACAAAAUAAUCACCGGCUUCUCGUAUCCAAAAGCUCCCCACUCAUGAUCUCACCCGCACGCGCGCCGGUGGCAGCCGGCGGGCCAUGCGCCAGUGGCGGUCAGCGCCCUAGGGCCCGGCCAGGGAGGACCCGCACGCCGGUGGCCAGGGCGCUGGCCGGGGAGGCCCCUUGUGCCGGCAGCCGGCAGCCAGGGGGCGAGCUGGGAAGGCCCUGCAUGCCAGCGGCCAGGGGGCCGGCCGGGGAGGGCCACGCGCUGGCGGCAGACAGUGGAGGGAGGAGAAAGGAGGAGAGGGAGGAGAGGAAGCGGUGGAGGAAGAGAGAGAGGCCGGUGGUGGGUUGGAAAAGAGGAUAAGGUAGUAGGGAGAGAGAUGAGGCCGCCGGUGGGGGUGAUAAAUUAAAGGCCGAUGCGGAGAGAGUCCAUUGGGGGAAUAAAAAAAGAGAGGAUAUAGUCCCGGUUGUUGGUUUCAACCGGGACUAAAGAUCAUCCUUUAGUCCCGGUUGGAACCAUCAACCGGGACUAAAUGAGUGGCCUUUAGUCUCGGUUGGUGUUACCAACCAGGACUAAAUGCACUACCAGAUUCCCUCGUUGUUCCUAGCCAUUACAACCGGGACUAAAGGUGGCUCUUUAGUCCUAGUUGAUAUUACUGAUCGGGACUAAAAAGCCCCUGUCGGAGUUGGGUUUUGGACCCGGGACUAAAGGAGCUUUAGUCCCGGGUCCAAAAAUGACUGAGACUUUUGUAGCUGGAUGUAAGGUCGUUUCUCUACAAGCUGGUGCCCGCGUCUCCGCCACAGGCGCCCACACCCUCAACUACGGCGCCCCAGUACGACACGUCACCGCGCGAUCCGUCUCCACCGCCACCUACGUCAGUUGCCUCACUCGAGACCGGCUCCAUCGAGCAGCACGGUGGCACUCGACACCAUAUGCAGGGGCGGAUCUAGGGCCCGGGCUGCAGCCCGGGGCGAGCCCAUGUAGUCCCUUUAACAUAUGUGGUAUUUAGCCUAAUAAAAGGAGGUUUAUGAGGCAAGAUUAGAUUGUUUUGGUGCUGAUUCAACAACUUAGCCCGGGGUGCAGCUCCGUUUUGGAUCCGUCCCUGACCACAUGGUCACUCGUGCGCGGGCGGGCGUCUUCAAGCCAAACCCGCGGUAUGCGGCUUUGCACGACGCGAUGGCCAUCUCUCCCAUACCGUCGUCUGUUCGGGCGGCACUGCGCGACCCUAACUGGCGGGCCACCAUGCAGGCGGAAUUCGACGCCAUCCGCACCAAUCGUACCUGGAGGCUCGUGCCACGCCCACGCGGUGCCAACAUCGUCAACGGGAAAUGGAUCUUCAAGCAAAAACUGAACCCAGAUGGCAGCCUCGAGCGCUACAAGGCGCGCUGGCUCAUGCACGGCUUCUCUCAGCGCCCCGGCUUCGACUUCGGCGACACCUUCAGCCCAGUGGUUAAGCCAGCCAUGAUUCGGACCGUACUCACACUGAUCGCAUCACACCACUGGCCGGCUCAUCAUCUUGACGUGUCCAACACGUUCUUGCAUGGGGAGGUAGGCGAACGCGUGUUCUGUCAGCAGCCGGCGGGUUUCGUCGACAACGGAACAGCUAGAUGCAGUAUGUCUCCCCUCCAAGUCCUUGUACGGCCUCAAGCAGGCACCACGCACAUGGUACCUCAGGUUUGCGACGUUCAUCCAGUCCACCGGCUUCGUCGCCAUAAGGUCCGACACGUCCCUGUUCGUUCUCCGACGGGGUAAUGACGUCGCCUACCUACUCUUGUACGUCGACGACAUGGUGCUGACGGCCUCAAGCGAGUCGCUGCUCCAACAACUCAUUGCUCAGCUUCACCAAGAAUUUGCGUUGAAAGACCUUGGGCCACUGCGGUUCUUCCUCGGCAUCGACGUUCAGCGCUCAGACAAUGGCUUCUUCCUCAGCCAAGCAAAGUAUGCAGAAGAUCUUCUUGAGCGUGCCGGAAUGUCAAACUGCAAACCAAUCUCAAUGCCGGUGGACACCAAGCCAAAGCUAUCCAGCUCAUCCGGCGUCAAGCUCACAGAUCCAUCCAACUACAGGAGCUUAGCCGGGGCACUCCAGUACCUUACCGUGACCCGUCCAGACAUCGCGUAUGCGGUGCAGCAAAUCUGCUUGCACAUGCACGAUCCAAGAGACUGUCAUAUGGCGCUGAUCAAGACAGUGCUUCAGUAUGUUCGUGGCUCCACUCGACAAGGCCUGCACCUGUGCGCUUCACCAACACUCGACAUCGUCGCCUACUCCGAUGCGGACUCUGGGCCGGCUGCCCCGAUACUCGUCGUUCUACGCCAGGGUAUUGCGUGUUCCUUGGGAGUUCACUGGUGUCAUGGUCAUCCAAGCGCCAAGCCAUUGUGUCCAGGUCCGCGCCGUCACCAAUGUCGUUGCAGAGUGUUCUUGGCUUCGACAUCUCCUUGCCGAGCUUGGUCAUCCGCUGCACAAGGCAACCAUCGUCUACUGCGAUGUGUCCACUGUCUACAUGGCCUCAAAUCCAGUACAUCACCAGAGAACGAAGCACAUUGAGCUGGACAUACACUUUGUUCGCGAAAAGGUGGCUUUGGGGUGACGUCAGGGUGCUACACGUUCCAACAGGAAGCCAAUAUGCAGGUGUAUCGACAAAGGGUCUACCUACAUCAUUGUUUCAGGAGUUCAAGUCCAGCCUCUGCGUCGGUGACGCUGAGUCUGCGGCGGGUGUUAGCGAUAUUCUCGUGAAUGCUGUGGACUCGCUCUCCACGGAUAAGCUCCCCCACGAUCUCCUCUAGGUUGUUAGGCUUACCGAGUCUUUAGCUUAGGAACCGGCCCUCUAACUAUACGUGUGUACUUAUAUGUAUAACUCUGAGAACAAUACAAUUCUUGUUGCGUCGGCUAUCACUUUCCUUCAUUAAACUUUGACCAAAUUAAUAGAAAAAAUACCAACAUCUACAACAUCAAACUAGUUUCAUUAAAUCUAGCGAUACUACAUUUAUUUAGAAUUGUAGGUAUUAUUAUAUUUUCUAUAUAAUUUGUAACCUCUAGAAAUUAAACUAUUAUGGAUGUUCUCUACCUAUAGAUACAUCUUGUCAGACACGAUGUUGGCAUACUUUUUUAUAGGCACACGUCAUCUGAUUAUCAAAUCUCUCGAGCGAAAGAGAAAUACUCAUGUGUGGUAGAGUUUAUAAGAACAUUAUAGUUGAUGUGUCAAUAUCUUGGUAGAUGCGACAUUAGCAUGCCUUUUGUAGGGUUUCUCUCACUUUAUACACAAAGGUUACUGGCCCCUCCUAAAUCCUUCUUUGUCUUGAUGACCUUUGUACCUUUUCGAGUGAGAGCGAUAUGAGAAUGAGAGGCAUUGUAUUGCCAUCGAAAAGGAGUUCGGCUUUCCAUCAAGAGAUCAGCAAAAUGUGAUGGGGGAUAGAUUGCUUUUGGAAAUUAAUUAAGUAGAGUUUCAUGGGGCCCCUGUGUUCUUGUUUGUUGUAGAAUGUUUCUUGUUUCCUUCUCCUAGUUGAAGUUGGCGAAUAAGAACUUGCUGAGGUUGGGUUUGACAUUGUUCAUUGGUUGGUGGCAUGUGCUUUAGGUCUUUUGUCUAAUCAAUCAGCUGAGAGCUGACAGUUCUGAUAGGCGGCGAAUUUAGGGGGUGUUUGGUUCCCUAGAACCUCCUAAAAUUUCUGUCACAUCGAAUAUUUAGAUACUAAUUAGGAGUAUUAAAUAUAGACUAAUUAUAAAACCAAUUACACAGAUGGAGGCUAAUUUGCGAGACGAAUCUAUUAAGGCCCUAUUUGUAUCCGAUUAUUUCCCGCUUAUUGGUGGAAAUAAGCGAUAAACCCACCCAAACGCCUUGCUUAUUUCCCGCUUGUCACGUAAGCCGCUUAGUUGAAAAUCCGGAAUAGAACUAGCAGGCCGCUUAUCUCGUACGCGGCUCUGGAUACGCUUCUGGGGCAAGCGAACCGUUUUUCCGCAGUACCCUCAGCCACCGACGCCACCGAGCCUCCCGCAACCGCCGCCGCUCCCGUCCGCUCAGAUCCCGCCGCCGCCGCCGCCGCUCGGGUCGCUCGGGCCGCUUCCAGAUCACCACCGCCGGGCUCGGCCCCCGCCGCCGGCUGCCCCUGCCAGGGCUCGGCCCCCGCCUCCGGCCGCGCCGCCUGGGGUCGGCUCCCGCCGCCGGACGCCCCUGCCGCCUGGGCUCGGGCCCCGCCUCCGGCCGCGCCGCCCGGGCUCGGAUCCCGCCGCCGGACGCCCGUGCCGCCCGCGCUCGGCCCCCGCCGCUGGACGCCCCUGCCGCCUGGGCUCGGGCCCCGCCUCCAGUGGCGCCGCCCGGGCUCGGAUCCCGCCGCCGGCCGCCCGUGCCGCCCUUGCUCGGCCCCCGCCGCCGGCCGCCCGUGGUGCGCUCGGCCCCCAACGCCAGCCGCCCGUGUCGCCUGCGCUGGGCCCCCGCCGCCGGCCGCUCGUGCUGCGCUCGGCUCCGCCGCCGGCCGCCCGUGCCGCCUGCGCUGGGCCCCCGCCGCCGGCCACCCGUGCUGCGCUCGGUCCCUGCCGUCGGCCGCCCGUGAGGCGCCUGUCGCCAUCUGCCAUUGUGAGGAUUGAAGUGUUGAGGGAGGGUAAGAAAAGAUUACCCUCUGUAUUGAAUACCUACUGUCAGUUAGUACUUCCACCACCGAACAAAUUUCAUGAGAGGCAUGCCAUUUUCGUGAGAGGGGAAUUCACCUCAGCUUCAGGUUGCUGCUUGAAGGGAAAGGUUUUCCAAAAUCCAACGUGUAGCUAUGAAGUACCAUUUUAUAGGUGUAAAUCUUGUUGCGUUGCUUAGGCUUUUUGUGGAUGGAAGUGAUUGAAUUGUUUGAUCAAUUAAUUUGUUGGACAACUAAUGACAAGGCUAUAUGUAAAUUUCUUCAUUUAUUCACCACGAAUUUUUGGCAUGCCACUCCAAAAUGAGUGUCAUACAACACUUAGUGGUGGAUGUCUGUUCAUUGAGGUAUUGGAGGAAAUAUAAAACCAUACACAAUUUUAGUUAUACACUAUUCAAGAGCAUCGUAUUAAGCCAUCUCUGAUUGAGCCUUUUUCCCAUGCAUGAUUACCAAGUUAGUUUCACUGUAGCACACUAGUUUACUACAACACCUCUGAGUUGUACACAGAGAUCUUGAGCAACGUCAUUUACUUCCCCUAUAGAGUACCUCAUAACAAUUUUAUGCAUGCAUGCAGUUGCUGUAGAGGAUCUGGACAGCUGUUGCUGCUACGACUGCAAGGCCGCCAACAAAUAGCAAGGUAAAAUUGGUGCCACUUCUUAAUGGAUUACUAAAAUGACAGAUUGUGGGUUGUAUGGUCAGUAAACAAGCUUGUAGAUUUGUAUUUAAUUCUACAAUACUGUAAUCAAAUUUUAGAUGGAAAAGUCAUCAAAGAUUGUGGCAAAAUGGGAUUUGUUUGCCGCGAAAGCUUUCAAUGACAUUUGUGUGGAAGAAGUACUUACUUUCAAUCAGCCGCAGCAAUGUUUGAAUGCGGUGGGAUAUGCAAACCUUAUUAGAAAGUUUUAUGAGCGUACCAAGAGGCCAUACGGUGAGAGUCAAAUGAAGAAUAGGUGGGAUAUAUUGAAAAAAAUGUAUACCCAAUGGAAGACUUUGAACUUGAGAUCAACCGGAUUGGGAAAAGAUCCUGUUGCUGGUUGUAUUGUGGCUGACGAUGAAUGGUGGGAAGAACAAAAUAAGGUGAGCCCACUAACAACAAUACUAGAGAUAUAGUUCACAUACACGUUGUUUGUUUAUUUUGAGUUGGAGUAUAAUAGCAUGCUAUUUUGAUGAUAUUUUACAGGCUAUGCCAGGUUGUAUCCGGUUCAGAACAGCUCCACUUGAAUAUGAGGAUCAGAUGCGAAUCAUGUUUGAAUCGGUCAUUGUUACAAAUGAAACUUCAUAUGUUCCAAGUGGUGAUGGAAACGUUGAUGUUGAUGAACAUGAUGUUGUUGAUGUUGAGGGCACCAAUGAUAGGGAGGCACAUAAGGCCCCAUCCAGUUCUGAGCGGAGGGCUUCAAAAAGGCCAGCUCCUAGUUCCCCUAAAGGAAAGAAGAAGAAGACUUUUAGAGACCAGUGCAUGAAGCAUUUGGUCGAUGCAUAUGAGUUGAAAGCUCAAAGUAGUAAACAUUCAGCUACUUCACAGGUUGUUGAUCACGUUAGAGAUGAGAUUGGAAAUAUGUUGGAGCAAGUCAUUAAGGAUGGGGCUGAGGAGGGGAGUGAUGAACACUUCUAUGCCACACAACUUCUUCAAAAAAAGGAAAACCGUGAUGUGUUCAUUACAUUAAAGACACCAAAUGGGAGGUUGAAUUGGCUGAGGAGGGCUUGGGAGAUAAGGAAGAAGCACUAGGGUGUUGCAUUAGUGUGCCAUUAUCUUUCAUUUCUCUUAUGUUGUGUGAGACAUAAUUUCAAUUUUCUAAGUAUGCUGUGUGAGACUAUGAACCUUCUAUUAGUUGUGUUGUAACAAUAAAAAUUCAUCUGAUGACUUGGUUAGUGCUUUUUGACAGGCUUGCAUUUGUUUUCAUGAGUACCUCUAGUGCAACUAGUGAAUGUGAAGGCAACAGUGAUUCUGUUCAUACCAUGGAUGUUGAUGAAUCUAAUAACACUGAUGAUGAUUACAUAGUGGCAAUGCUUGGUUUGGACUACAUGGCAUCAUCUGGUAUGAACAAGAAGAAGAUUACUACUACGAUAGCAAGGAUGACUGGAAUACAGUGGGUUGAGUUACAACUACAAGAUCCAGUGGAGUGCUUUAACAUGUUCAGAAUGAGGAGGUCAGUUUUCUUAAGCCUUCAUGACACUUUGGUGCAAGAUUAUGGAUUGAGAUCAAGUAGACAAUUUUGUAGCAAGGAAGCACUAGGAAUGUUUCUAUGGGCUUGUGGUGCACGUCAAUCUUUUAGGCAAUGCAAGAAUAAUUUCCAUCGCUCAUUAGAAACUGUGAGUAGAAAAUUUGAAGAGAUUCUUGAAUCUAUCAUGAGAUUAGCUGUUGACAUUGUGAGGCCUAAGGAUCCACAAUUUCUACUAUUCAUCCUAAACUACAAGAAGCAAGGUUUUGGCCUCAUUUCAAAUAUUGCAUAGGAGCAAUUGAUGGUACCCAUAUACCCGUAACUGUGCCAUUAGCUGAUCAACCGAAAUAUAUUGGUCGGCAUGGGUAUCCUUCACAAAACGUCAUGGCGGUUUGUGACUUUGAUAUGCGGUUCACAAUUGCUGUCACUGGUUGGCCUGGUUCUGUCCAUGAUACUCGUGUAUUAUUGGACACGCUUGUCACAUACAAGGAUCAAUUUCCACAUCCUCCCGAUGGUAAGGACGAGUUAUGUUGCAAUUUAUUUUUUAGGGAAUAUUUGCUCAUUGUGAUAUAACAUAUAAAUAUAACAUGCAGGUAAGUACUAUCUUGUUGACUCUGGAUAUCCUAAUAGAAAAGGAUUUCUUGCACCCUACAAGGGACAGAGGUAUCAUGUUUCUGAAUGGCAGCAUGGUCAACAUCCGGUAGGAUUGAAAGAAGUGUUUAAUCAUGCACAUUCAUCCCUUAGAAAUGUGAUUGAGCGAUCAUUUGGAGUUCUAAAGAUGAAGUGGCGCAUUCUCUUGAAUUUGCCCAGUUAUCCGGUUAACAAGAAAUCGAAAAUUAUAGUUGCUUGUAUGGCCCUUCACAAUUUCAUCAGAGAUAGUGUCGUACAUGACGUGCAUUUUGAAGAGGAUUUUCAGGAAGAUGAUGGUAAUUCAACCCAACCUAGCACAGAUGGUGGUGGUGGUGCUUUAGGAGAUGACAUUGAUAUGGGUGCAUUGCGUGAUGCUAUUGCUGUCGCUAUGGUUUCGUGAUUCGUUGUUGUACCCAUGAUGGAUGUUUCCAUACUAGACCGAUCUAUCGUAUGAAUUUUAUAUUAUUGUAAUAUAAUUUCUAUUUAACAAACUCCAAAGGCAUUAGAAUUAUUGUCUUCUCCUCAGAUUCACAAUAAAAAUGAGCUAUUAUUAGCCUUAGGGGCAUUCAGGUCAAUUUACCAACCAGGACAGACAAUCGACACAAAAUAAUCAGGAUUGCCAAACACCCUGCUUAUUCAGACAGGAGAUUCUCCAAGCAGCAGGCUUAUCAGAUAAGCUUGCUUGCCAGAUAAGCGAGUUCAAGAAAAGCGUAUACAAACAGGGCCUAAGCCUAAUUAGCCCAUGAUUUGACAAUGUGAUGCUACAGUAAACAUGUGCUAAUGAUGGAUUAAUUAGUCUUAAUAGAUUUGUCUCGCGAAUUAGCUUUCGUUUGUAUACUUAGUUUUAUAAUUAGCUAAUGUUUAGUCCUCCUAACUAGUCUCCGAAUAGUCGAUGUGAUAUAAAUUUUAGUCCGGACUAAAGAUCCAAACAUUCUCUUAAACUACAUGUACUGUCAGGUUUCCGUUGCAUUUGGUAGGAAAGAUAGUUUUUUUUCUACCACCGAUCUAUUUUUUGUCCGUGCCAAACUGCUAAACUUGUAGCCGGCUAGCUAUCGGAUUAUCGGUAGUGAUAGAAUUUUUUUUAUGUUGAAAAAAAUCCAUUUUACUCCCCUCACCUAUUUACUUUUUUCACUUAAUCCCUAAAUAAAAUUUAGACUCACUUACUCCUCCGAACUAUUUCAUUUGGUUCAAUCUAACCCCUAAUCAAAUUUUUCUUUUUUAUUUCUUUGUGUACAAGUUGAGUUUUAGUUUCAGAUUUUAUCAUGUUAGAAAAAUACGUUAGAAAUUUUUCAUAAUUACUUUCCGUACAGUUUUGUAUAUCUAAGAUCAAUUCCAUAUUAAAUAUUCUUAACCUAUGAAAAUAAUUAGAAAAAAAUUUAGUAUAAUUUUUUAAUAUAAGGAAUCAUGUUUUGUGUCUGUUCACAAAAUUUGAACUCAAAAUUCAACUUAUACACAAAGAAACAAAAAAAGAGAAAUCUAAUUAGGGGUAGGUUGGACCAAAUGAAAUAGUUCAGAGGACUAAAGUGAGCCAAAAUUUUGUUUAAGGGGUUAAACGGACAAAGUAGAUAGGUGAGGGGGAAUAAAAUGGAUUUUUUCCUUUCUUGUUUGCAACAAACAACGAGAGCAUAUGAGAAAAGUACAGGAAUUCAGAGAGAGAGAGAAUUUUCAUGAGGUCUUACCUCAUGUUACUUUUCCUAAAAAAUUCAGAUAGUUGCAUGCAUCUUGUAGCAAUCCGACCUAAUUUCAUAGGGUGCAAUCUUUUAUUCUAAAGGACUAUAUAGGAAGUUUUUCUACGGAAUUAAAAUAAUGUAAAUCCAUAUGUUUUCCCUCUUUGGAGAUGCCUUAAUCAUCUUGUACAAACGAAGGAUCGAGCUGCCUGCAUAAUGAAGUUCAUAGACUAAAAUGUUUUGUUUGUAAACACUGGUUGCAAACAAAUUAAUUGCUAAAGCUAUUUCUUGUGCACGAAAAUUUCAAAGGAUCGCUACUCUUUUUUUCCUAAACAAAGUUACACGCUCGCAUACACACACAUGUAACCUACUCAUAUGAGUGCAUGCAUGCACAUCUUAUCCUUAUAAAUAUCAUUAAGAAUAUGAGGUAGCUAAUAUUAAGGUUGACGAAUCCAUUACAUGUGAAUGCGAGCACCUGCCAUGAGUCGGAUACCCGAAUCUAGGUGGACAUGUUUCACAAUAAGAAUAUGACCGAUCUAUCUUAUUUCACGGGGGAGUGCUAUUCUAUGAUUCAGUUUACCUCUUUGACAUACAAUCCCAGAAACUAAAAGCAAAAUUAAUUUGUAAGAUCCACACGACCAUUUUUUUUAGGAUUGGCUUGUAAUUUUUGAAACAGCUUUAGAUCUUGUUUGUAUGGCAUUAUAGCAAGAAUUUUUCAGAAAAUUUGUAUGAGGAAGUAGUUCUUCCAUACUCUUGCUUUGGUCAAUUCUAAUUUCUAUCAUCGCUCUAUCCUGUCCGUGCGAGAGCCUACUACCGUCACACCCACUAUAGCGGCACAGAAGAGGCAGCCUACAGUGCCAACGGUCGGCGGCCCUGCCUCCCUCUCUUCCGUCUUUCCACUGCCGCCGCCCACGGCCCUAACCUCAAGCACAGCGGAUCAAAACCCGCCGGCCGGCAUUCGCGUUGGUUAAAAUCCACGGCGAGACAUCCUAAGUUACCGACCGCCACCGCUUCCUCAUCGUAAGAUCCUCAAAUCUGUUAGGAGCUCUACUACUAUGGGCCUGAGGCUGUGUAAUAGUUAGGGGCCUGCGUGCCUGUGUUGGGCCAAUGAUCCCAGGCCAACGAUCCCAUGUACCAGUUGGGCCAGUGCAAGCCUAUGUCUACUGCUGAAACUGAGAAUAGGGGUAAUGAAGAAAAAAACCUAAAACACAAUUUCCCUUUCUUCCUCCUCCUACCGAGGCGGCGCCGCCGACCUCUCUGUCGUGCACGACGCUAGCGACCUCCAUCCCUCCUAGGUCAUGACAUUUGGUAUUAGAGCAGGUUCCGACCAUAGUGACUCGAGUCCCGCUGGAGCGGUGUGCGGUCGGGAGCAAAUCGGGGGGGGGGGGGGGGGGGGAGGGGGGGGGGUCCUCCAAUUCACCUUCGAUCCUGUAAAUCCUAGAUGUGGUGACCUUGUCCUCGCGAGGGAUUGACGCUGGCACCUCCUCCAGAUACCUUUCCGCCCAACUCACCCCCAACAUCAACCAGAAACACAGCCGCCACCACCAGUUCAAUCCCUAGAUCAGCAACACCACCACCACCACCUCCUCUGCUGCCACCACCGCUUCCACAACACCGACAAUGAGGAAAGAAGGUGAGAAUACCUACGUUGACAUUCAGGAUGACAACCGUAGAAGAGAAGCUCGACCUGCUGAUAUCCGAGGUAAAGGCUCUGCAAUCGAGCCAACUCAAGCUUACUACCACAGUGAACUCCCUCAACACUUGGAGCGACAACGCUAAUAAGUUCUUGGCUGGUUGAGCAAAGAAAUCGAAGAUCUCACAUCGCGCAUGAAGGUGUUGGAGGCAGCCACCUCUGCUGCUCCGCCACAAGCCCCGUCGUGCGAGGAAGAGGGGCGGGCUAGUGGCCACCACGUCGACACACAUCACCAGGGUGCAGAUGUGGGGUCUCUAACUACCCAUCCCACCCUGGUCAAGGGUGGGCAUCAUUAUCCCAAAAUCUCAAGUUUGGUAACUGAUAUUCCUGAGACCAGUGCUAGAAGGCAUACCGUGUUUCCUAAUCACCAUGAAACUAGAGAGUAUAAGUUGCCUAAGAUAGAUUUCCCUAGAUUUAAUGUUGAUCACCCAAAAGUGUGGAGACAAAAGUGUGAGAAGUAUUUUGUUAUGUACAAUGUGCCUGUUCAUGUGUGGAUUCCCUUUGCUACUAUCAAUUUUACUGGUAAUGUUGAGUUGUGGCUGCAAACAUAUGAAGCACAUCAUUACAUUGAUAAUUGGCCUGAGUUACGUGUGGCUGUAGAACAAAAGUUUGGAUAGGAUCUUUAUCCCAAUUAUAUGAGAGACCUUCUAUCUAUUAGGCAAACAAAUGAUGUGCUAGAAUAUGCUGAUAGGUUUGAGAAAGCCAAGCAUAGGGUGCUAGUGCAUAACAAGGAGAUUGGUGAAGUAUUUUUUGUGCAAAAAUUUCUUGAUGGGUUGAAAUACAACAUUAGCAAUGCUAUAACACUGCAUAAACCAAGAACUGUUGAUGCUGCGUUAUCCUUGGCUCUCAUGCAGGAAGAACUAUUGGCUACGACAACUAGAAGGUUUUCCUCAAGGGCCCGAGAAUAUAGAAGGAGUGCUAUCAAGACUACGACAAGCAAUACUCAAACCAAUACACCUACCUCUGGUGUGUUGGGUGCUGCACCAACAACAGAAAAGCCUCAAGUGGAUAAAUUUCAAAACAAGAACAGAUGUGACAACAAGUAUGAAACAUUACGAGCAAAAAGAAGGACGAGUGGCUUAUGCAUGAAGUGCAGGGAAACUUAUAGUCCUCAACACAGAUGUCCGAAACAAGUGGGACUCCAUGUGGUUGAGGAGCUCAUGGAACUGCUACAACAUGAAGAGCAUAAUGAUAUGACAGUUGAUACUGCCAGUCAAGACAGUGAUGAAGAUCUACUAUCCUUACCUUAAUUUGCUGAUGAAGGAACCAAGGAAGAAAAACAAUAAGAAUACAAGGCUUGUUGCAGAAUCAAGAAAUCUUGAUCUUGAUUCAUUCUAGGAGCUUGGGGACUUCUGUAAGUGAGUCCUUGGUGUCAGAACUGAAGUUGGCAAUAAUGAUAUUUCCUGAGUCCUUGGGAGCUACAGGAUGUUUUAGCUACCUUUUCCUUCCCUUUCCUCCUCUGAGCAACCACAAACCUUUCUUCUUUAGAUCCCUCCUGCUCAUACACCUCCUCCUUCUUCUUCUUCACUCUCAACUCUAGGAGGAUUAGGAUCAUGCCUUGCCUUAGUUCUCCUUUGCAUUGCACUAGAAUGAGUGUCCUUUUACCUUCCCAUCUGGAUAAAGUAGAGAACAUGACCAAGAGAAGAAAAGGGUCAUGAAAAAAUUUAGAGAGUAAUCAAUAUAAGAGAUUUGGGCUGCGAGUUAUGGAGAUUCCGGAAAAAUGUCCAGAGUUUUCCGCAAGUUGCAGAGAUUUUGGAAAAAUGUUCGGAGUUUCCGCAAGUUGUGGAGAUUCCGGAACUCUUUUCCAAAAUAUUCCGGAACUCGCAGACCAAAACCCUAACAUUUCAUACAUAAUGAAUCUGUCAUGAGAUUGAUAUGAAGUUGAAGAUCCUAGGCCUACACAGGCUAGAGAAGAGUUCUAUCCAAGGAAACCCUAAGGAACAACCUACAUUGAUAGAUCGGGCGAGAUGAAAUUUGGAUACCUUUGGAGAGAAAAGAGGAGAUCUUUCAAACUUCGAUUCCAACACCACCACGUGAUUCCCCUUCUUGAGUUGAGUCUUCCUUGAUGUUUUUGCAGGAUUUUGGUGGUGGAAACUCCAAAUUGCCCAGGGGGACGAAGGAGAGAGGAGAAGGAGGAGAGAAAAGCCGGCGGUAAGAAUGAAGGAGAGUGAACUGGUAACUUCUCGGGGUAAAAAGUAAAUACCCAGUAAGUUAUGGAAUUUUUCGAAAAAAGUUAUGGACAUUCCGCAACUUUCGGAAUUUCCAAAAAUAGUUCCGGAGAUUCCGCUCCCCCUAUCUAAGAGCCAUUAGAUUUGAGUGGAAUUUGAUUUGGGAUAGAUUUGGAGGAAUAUGGUGGUAAUAUAUAUAUGAGCAUGAGUAGUUCUAUCACUUGAAAUCAGCCAACACACAAUCAAUGAGAACAAUGGUCCAAGUGAUAGAGCUAAAUUAACUCCAAAUAUUUUUUAAAGUAAAACCACACUUCAAUUUUAAAAAAGUUUUUUUUCUUUUGAAAGCAAUCUAUCCUAAGUCACUCAAACAUGCACAUGGUUUUAAGCUAUGUUACAAGAAUCCAAGAUAUUUAGUUCACUCCUCAAAGCAUAAAACAUUUUCUCAUCAAGGGGCUUUGUGAAGAUAUCGGCUAGUUGCAUUUCGGUGCUCACAUGGCUAAGAGCGAUAUCUCAUUUGGCUUCAUGGUCUCUUAGGAAAUGGUGUCUUAUGUCUAUGUGCUUUGUCCUCGAGUGGUUCAUGGGGUUGUUUGCUAGUUUAAUAGCACUCUCAUUAUCACACAAGAGAGGUAUCUUGCUAAACUCACAAUCAAAGUCUUUCAAUAUGAGCCUCAUCCAUAGUAGUUGAGCGCAACAAGCACCGGCUGCAACAUACUUAGCCUCGGCGGUGGAUAGAGCAACGGAAUUUUAUUUCUUGGAACUCCAAGACACCAAGGACCUACCAAAGAAUUGACAAGUCCUGGAUGUACUCUUUCUAUCCACUUUGCAAUCGGCAUAAUCUGAAUCGAAAUAGCCAAGUAGAUUGAAAGUGGAGCCUUUGGGAUACCACAAGCCAAGGUUAGGGUGUGUACUAGAUAUCUCAAGAUUCUCUUAACAACCAUUAAAUAACAUUCCUUAGGAUUAGCUUGAAACCUUGCACGCAUGCACACACUAAGCAUAAUAUCGAGUAUAGAUGCACAAAGGUAAAGCAAGGAGCCAAUCAUAGACCGAUAUACCUUUUGGUCCACAAUCUUACCAUACUCAUUUAGAUCAAGAUGUCCAUUUGAUGGCAUUGGAGUCUUGAUGGGCUUGGCAUUCUUCAUGUCAAACUUCUUGAGAAUAUCUUGAGUGUACUUGGUUUGACUAAUGAACGUGCCAUCCUUGAGUUGCUUGAUUUGAAAACCAAGAAAUAAUUUCAACUCUCCCAUCAUGGACAUCUCAAAUCUCUUAGUCAUGAUCUUACUAAACUCACCACACCACACUUGGUUAGCAGAACCAAAUAUUAUGUCAUCGACAUAUAUUUGGCAUACAAAUAGAUCAUUAUCCCUUUUGCGAGUGAAGAGUGUAGGGUCGACUUUGCCUAUUUCAAAGUCUUUCCUUAGGAGAAAAUCCUUACAGCACUCAUACCAUGCUCUUAGAGCUUGCUUGAGCCCAUAGAGAGCCUUAUGGAGCUUGUAGACGUGGUUGGGUAGCUUUGGAUCUUCAAAGCCCGAUGGUUGCUCAACAUAUACCACUUCAGAGAUUGGUCCAUUCAAGAAUGCAAUCUUUACAUCCAUUUGAUAUAGUUUGAAGUCAUGAUGAGCGGCAAAUGCUAGUAACAUUCGGAUAGCUUCAAGUCUUGCCACUGGUGCAUAUGUUUCUCCAAAAUCCAAUCCCUCAAUUUGAGUGAACCCUUGAACAACCAACCUUUCCUUGUUUCUUGUCACCACGCCAUUCUCAUCUUGCUUGUUGCGAAACACCCAUUUUGUUCCAACAACAUUUUACUUGGGACGUUCCACUAAAAAUCAGACUUCAUUCCGAGUGAAGGUGUUCAACUCUUCUUGCAUGGCUACCACCCAAUUCGGAUCGUCCAACGCCUCAUUUACCUUAAGAGGUUCCAAAGAGGAAACAAACAAGUAAUGUUCACAAAAAUUUACUAAUCUAAAAUGAGUAAUUACCCCUCUUUGGAUACUUCCCAAAAUAUUGUCAACGGGAUGAUCACGUUGAACACUUUGAUGAACUCUUGGAUGUGGGUUAAGAGUUUGAUGUUGUAUCAAAUCCUCAUUCUCAGCCUGAUGUUGUGUACUUUCAUCAGUAUUUUCAGAAUUUCCGGAAUUUUAUCCGGAGUCUCCGAAACUAAUGGAGUUUCUCCGGAAUUUCCGAAAGUUGCCGAAUUUUCACAAGAUUCUUCGGAAUUUCCGGAACUCACAGCGGUUUCUUGAUUUGUAGGCCCAUGACUUGUGACACAAUCAUCUUUCUUCUCUUGAGGCUUGAUUUCUCCUGUCACCAUCUUCUCAAUAGCUAGUGAUGGAGGUUCUUCAUCAUCUACAUCAUGUGAGGCAACUUGCUCUACUUGAGAGCCGUUAGAUUUAUCAAAUGUCACGCCACAUGCAACUUCAACACAACGGGUAGUUUUGUUGAAGACACGAUAGCCAUGAGCAUUUGAGGCAUAACCAAGAAGAAAACCUUCAUCAACUUUAGGUGCAAACUUAGAGCUUUUGGGCUUCUUGUUGAGAAUGAAGCACUUACUUCCAAAAACCCUAAAGUAAGACACGUUAGGCUUUUUAUCGGUUAAAAGGUUGUCGGCGGUUUUGUGCAACAUCUUGUGAAGAUAUAGACGGUUGAUAGCAUGACAUGCCGUGUUGAUCGCUUCAGCCCAAAAUUGAUUCGAGGUCUUGUAUUCAUCAAGCAUUGUCCUUGCGGCUUCAAUAAGAGUUCUAUUCUUUCUCUCCACAAUCCCAUUUUGUUGUGGCGUGUAUGGGACGGAGAAUUCAUGACCAAUGCCUUCCUUGUUAAGAUACUCUUCAAUGUUGGUGUUCUUGAACUUGGUGCCAUUAUCGCUUUUUACUCUCUUGAUCUUCACUUCAAAUUCAUUUUGUGCUCUAGUUGCAAUUUUCUUGAAUAUUCCUUGAACUUCACUCUUGUCAUGCAAAAAGAACACCCAUGUAUACCGAGAGUAAUCAUCAACAAUGACAAAGCCAUAUUUGUUUGAGAAAAUUUCUUAUUUGACACUGGGAAAAUGAGUCAUUCCUUCCUUGGCCCUGAAAUUUUCUUCGUUCCCUAUUUGACACUCACUUCAACUUUCGUUCCCUAUUUGACACCGCAGUUAAAUUCAUGGGCUAUCGGUGUUAAGUGGUUGUUAAGAAGAUGUUUUUGCCCCUAGGCGCAUGCUGGCGCCAUGCAUGCAUGCAGGGGGUGUCUGGGCACUGGCGCCAUGCACCAGGGGGUGCAUGCAUGCAGGCUGGGCACUGGUGCCAUGCAUGCAGGGGUGCAUGCGCAUGCAGAGGCGCGGGUCUCUGGUGUUUUUUUCCUCAAUUUGCAUCGUUGUCUGCUCUCUUUUCUGGGCGCAGGUUUUUUUGUCUCAAAUUUUUGCUGCUGGCUGGUUUGCAACAUUUAUGCAACAUUUUUUGCAUGAUUUGUAACAUAUUAUUUUUGCAUGAUUUGUAACACAUGUAUACAACAUUUUUUCAAUAUUUACAAAACAUGAUGAUGACACAUGAUAUAGAAAGUUCACAGACCGACACCACAUUAAUUCAAAUUCAGGAGUUCAAAUUCACAUGCAAGUUCAUAGGAGUUCACAUUCACAUGCAAGUUCACAGAAGUUCAAAUUCACAUCCAAGUUCAUAGGAAUUCAAAUUCACAUCCAAAUUCACAAAUACAUGAGGAUCACAAGCUUAGCCUUCUUUUGCUUCUUGUGCUCAUUGCAGGGCUAGCAGGAUCCACCCUUUUGCUUCGUGUGCCCAUUGCAGGGCUGUCAAGUGGCAGCAUAGGAGUUGGGGUUUUCUUUUUAGUAGUAUUCAUUUUCCUUUUGCUCUUUGCCUUGACUGGAGCAGUAGUAGGCAGAGGUUAAUUUGAAUCUGAAAUUGACCUGUGUAUGCUAGAACUAGACUUUUACAUAUAACAGUAGCAAUAAAAUAGCACUAGUAGUAUGACCAAUUUUUAAAAAUAUGUGUAUUACCUUUUUGAUGCUCCAGAACUAGAUUUGCCUGUAUUUGCCAUUUUCUUGGAUGUAAGCUCCUCACUUUUUGAUGCUCUAAUACUUGAACGUUUGUAUUUGAGGCCAAAUUUUGGCUAACAUGGCAAAAGUAAAAGUGACAAAAUAGUGAGCUAAUAUGGCAGGUUGUUUUGGAAAAAUUGACAAAAUCAUGAGCUUACCUUGGUGGAAAAGACAUAGAAAUAGCUGGUGCUUCAUUGUCCAAAGGCACAAUAGAUGACUCAGCUGUUUUGUUUUUUUUUGCCUUCUCCUUAGAUGGUCCUCUGCAUGAUAAAGAAGGAAGUAGUUAGAAUCUAUAUUUUGACAAAAGGAAAAUGUAAUGAAAAAUAAAGUACUUAGUAUGUAUAGUACCUCACAGCCAUCAUAGCAGCAAUAUCCUUUGGAUUACCUUUCUUGCAGUUGUGCCAAUGAUGCCCAUAGCCUGUACAAAUAGGGCACUGGUUUUGUUCUUUUUUCCUCUUAUUCUCACUACUGCCUUUGUACCUCUCAGUUUUUGGCCUACCAGCAGUUGCUUUCGAUAGAGGUGGAUGCAUGAAAAAUUCAUGUGUUGAUUUAGGCCACUGGCGUUUGUCAGUCAUAGCAGGGAUUAAGUGUUGAUAUGCUGCCCUAAACUUAUCAAUAGAGUAAUACAUGUCUACAUAUUUCUCUAGAGGAGCAUUGUGAAGUGAUGUGAUAAAUGCUACUGCAUGUUUGCAAGGAAUUCCAGAAACUUGCCACUGUCUACAUGAACAUGUCUUAUCUUGCAAGUUGACAACAAACCUAAAGCUAGUACCCCCCAAUGCUGUAACUUCAACAACUUCUUCUGAGCAUUCAAGCACCUCCAAGUUUAAUUCUCUACUCAUUUCAUUCAGCUUCUUAAUUAUGUGGGGUAGAAUCAAGCCAUCUAACUUCAUUGCUAUUUUUCUCCUUGGUUCUACUUGAUCAUAAGCAUUUGCCUUAAUUUGUCCAUUAAGUCAUCCAAGUUCAAGGACUUGUGGUGCUUAAUCCAAUUGUUGAAGCACUCAGCCAAGUUGUUGGUUACAUAAUCAACCUUGGAAGUGGUUGAGAACUAACUCCUUGUCCAUAGCCUAGUGUGCCACUUCCUAAGAUAAUUAGUAGCACUUGGCUUUGCUGCCUCCAUUGCAACCCAAUGUUUCUCAAACAAAUAUGGGUUCCAUGAGUAUGCUGCUACCCAAAGGUGGUCAUCAAAAACCUUGCCAUGAAACUUUUUCUUAAAAUUGGACACCAAGUGAAACAUGCAUUCCCUAUGUUCUACCUCUGGGAACACAUCACCUACCCCUGACAUCACUGCUUGGCCAGCAUCAAUGCAUAUGGUUAAACCCCUUGGUGAUCCUAUGGCCUCUCUAACUCUCUCCAUGAACCAUUUCCAAUUAUCAUUUGUUUCAGAAUCAAAUACUCCAAAGCAAACUGGAAAUAACCAAUUGUGACCAUCAACAGCUGAACCACUGGCUAACUGCCCCUUAAACUUGCCUGUCGGGAAAGUGCUAUCUAUUGCUAAGUAUGGCCUACAACCACUUAUGAACCCAUCAAUGCACGGUUUCAAGGCAAAGAAUUUUUUUUUAAAUCUGAUCUUCCCAUUUAUUGUUUGAUGAUCUAUCACUACUAGGCUACCAGGGCAAAUGCUCUCAACUCGUGCCUUAAACCUAUAUAAAUUGUCAAAAUUGUUGUCCCAGCCACCAUAAAUCUGCCUCAAUGCUAGCUCUUUACCCAUCCACACCCUCUUGUAGUGAACACUCUCCUUGUAGUGUUCUUUCAGCUUCUUUUUCAACACCAUUGCAGUUAGUGAUCCAUCUUCAAUGAGCCAGUCCUUAACUUUAGCACAUACCCAAUGCUUGGUGGCAUUCUUGACCUUCUUCUUCCUCCUUGUACUAGAGCACUGAUGAGCACAAGGGUUCUUCUUCAGCUACAAAAUAUUAACAUUACUAUCUAGCUACCCCAACAUAAUAGAAUAAAUAUUUAGGAAAAAAACAGAAAUUAUUUAUACUGAAUAAUUACCACAACAGUGCACAUAUCAUUUGUUGUAGAAGCAUGUAGUCUCCAUGGGCACUUAUCUUCCUCCCACCUUGAACAAUAGGCCCUGAACCUAUAUGGUGCACUCUUCGCUGUGUUAUACUCAAAUUCAUGUUUGAUUGCAUGCUGAGAUAAUGCAAUCUUAAACUCUGCCAUACUAGGAUAUGUUGAGCCAACUACCAUAGGAGGGUCUUCUUUAUUAUAUUCCCUAUUUGGAAUAUGUUCUGCCUCAUGUCCUACCAACUCUUGGUCAUCCUCUAAUUUAGUACCUAACUCAAUCUCCAAUUCAUCCUCAUCCCCAUCCUUUUCCACAUCCUCACUCUCAUCCUUUUCUUUGUCCUGAUCCUUAUGCACAAUCAUAGCCAUAUUUGUAUCUUCACAAGGUGUCUUCUCUAAGUACAUGACCUCCUCAUCUACACCUACAUGCUCAUUCUCUGGUACUGGGUUGCAAAGGUACCUAUCCUCAUCUUUUGCAAUAUUCUUGGCUGCAUCCUGCAUUUGCACAUCACUAUGCCACUCUUUGAUGGGCUCAAAUGGUUCAGAGGGAUCACAAUAAGAAAUGAACAUGUCGACAACCUUUGUCUUUGAAUUUUUCUCAAACAUAGACAACAAAUCUUGGUCAGAAUGAACUUUAGGAAAUUCUUUCAUAUUAUGAUCAUAGUACUGAAGAUGAGAAACUUCCAAAUAACCAGGUGGGUACUUGUCUACAAUCUCUUCAAGUAAAUCCUUAUAGUUUGUCAAAUAUGAAUCAACAGUCAUAUCAAAACAAAAACAUUUGAAAUCCUUUCUAACUCUCUUUUUGUUGCCAAACAGUCUAAUUUCUAACAAAUAUGUUGAAUUUGGAUCCAUCCUGCAAAUGAAAAGAACAAUCUAAGUAAUCAAGAAUGCUACUUGCACAUAACUUUUGCACUGCUUAGAUAAAUCGAAGGUAGUAAGCACUCACCCUUCAAGGAGCCAGUCUGGCUUUGUGCUAGCAUUAUCAGACCCUCCAUGACCCCUCGAAGCCCGCCCAAGCGUGCUCCCUGAAUUUUGAAUUAAACAACAUGGCUUCAAUUCAAUAUAACAAGCACCAGUUAAUUACCAAAGCUUUGGUCAAGCAAAAAGCCAAGAACUCUACCCCUAGGUGUAAUCCAUAUAAGCAAGCACUGUGCAUGCAGUGGGCGGCUACAACUGAUAUUAUAUUUUUUGUGUUUGCGUCCUAGAUUCACCUCCUCAUGCAUGCACACCUUGCUACUUUGACAAUAUCAAAACCAAGCCAUCAAUAAGAACAUGAUACGUAUAGAGAUCAGGUUUAUUGCUUAUCAUUUUCAUCGCAAAAAACACCACCAAUCCUUUACUUGGACAACACAUCUCAAUUUGUCACUUGUUCCACUAAAAGUUGCACAAGGUAUACUAGUAGUUCGUGCAAUCUACCUGGAGUCUCCGCGCCCCGCCUCCCUGGAGCCUCCGCGCCCCGCCGGGGGGAGCUCCCUGGAGCCUUCGCUCCCCCUGAAUCCAGCGCGCCCCGCUAGGAGGGAGGGGCUCCCUGAAGCUAGCGCGUCCCGCCCGGGGGCUCCCGCCGCAUUCGUCGGAGCCGCCCCACCCCGCCAGGCGAAUCCCGCCGGAGCCGUCCCGCCCCGCCGGGGAAAUCCGGCCGAAACUGCCCCGCCCCGCCGAGGGGAUCCCGCCGGAGCUACCCCGCCCCGCUAGGGGGCUCUCGCCGCAUCCGCCGGAGCCGCCCCGCCCCAGCGGGAGGAUCCUGCCAAAAUCGCCCCGUCCCGCCAGGAGGAUCCCGCCGCAGCCAUCUCCCCCGGCUGAGGGGGGGGGCUCGCCGCAGCCAUCGACGUAGCCCAAGGGAGGCGACGGCCGGCCGCCGCCUUAAUCUGGGAGAGAGAUGCACAGGAGAGACCUGGGAGAGACACACACGAGAGACUCUCCUCGGCGUGUUGCGUGCGCUGCCUUGGGUAAUUUGGACCCAAACGUUAUUAUCUGACAACGGGGCCCAUGAUUACUAACGGGAUAAGUAACAGAACAGACGGUAGUGUCAAAUAGGGAACGAAGAAAAUUUCAGGGCCAAGGAAGGAAUGACUCAUUUUCCCAGUGUCAAAUAAGGAAUUUUCUCUAUUUGUUUCCCCAAUGCUAACAUAUGCCACGGGACCAAAAAUAUCCAUAUGCAAUAAUUCCAAUGGUCUUGUGGUAGUGAGAAUACUCUUGGAGGGAUGAGGAGCACUAACUUGCUUACUGGCUUGACAUUCACUAAAAAUUCUAUUUUUCUCAAAACGCACAUUUGUUAGUCCUAGGAUGUGUUACCCCUUUAGAAGCUUGUUAAGAUUAUUCAUCCCAACAUGAGCUAGCCAGCGAUGCCCAAGCCAACUUAAGCUAGACUUUGCCAUGAAGCAUGUAUCAAGUUGAGCUCUAUUCGAGGUAAAAUCCACUAGAUUAAGCUUUCCCUUGAGUUCACCCUUGAAAGCAACGGAGUCAUCGCUUCUUCUAAAUACAGUCACACCCCCAUUAGAGAACAAACAAUUGUAAUCCGUCUCACAAAGUUGUGACACGGAUAACAAAUUGUAGUCCAAAGAUUCAACCAAACAAACAUUGGAAAUUGAAUGAUCGGUUGAGAUGGCAACAUUAUCUAGACCAAUAACGGUUCCUUCACUAUUAUCUCCCAAUACUAUCUUCUCUUUUGGAUUUUUCUUCAUUUCACAUGAGGAGAACAUCUUUUUCUCACUGGUCAUAUGAUUUGUGCAUCCACUAUCAAUCACCCAUUUCGUUCCACCGGCGGAGUAAGCCUACCAAACAAAUUAGGCUUGUGUUUUAGGUACCCAAAGAAAUUUGGGUCCUAGAGCGUUAGUCACAAGAAUCUUGAGCACCCACACACUCCUUUUGAUCAAAGUGUUCUUGGUGCGAUUACCCACAUACUUAGUGAUCACUUUACCCUUGUGAUCCCAAGUCAACACAUAAUCAGCAUAGAAACCAUUUUGUGAAGCAUAUGGCUUGGGCUUCUUGGCUUGCUUUGAUUGAGUGAUCUUGGGCUUAUUUUGAGAGACAUGGGGCUUGGCUUAUCUUUCUUGAGAGUUGUAGAACUUGAUGGGCUUGUUGUACUCAAGUUGCUUACCAUCAACUCUUGCACCUAGUGGCUUCAUACCAUAUACCACUUUCUUUGAACCCAUGCCCGUGGUGUGGUUGUUCUUCACUAAAUGGAAUGGGAUCAAGUGAGCUUUUCUCAUACUUACCUAGUCCCUUUCCAUCCUUAAAACCAAACUUCUUCAUGUAUCUUGACCCAAAGCCCUUUGUGUGAUUCUCAAACUCACCCCUUUUUGAGGUGUUCUUUUCUUCAUUGAGGAGUUUGAUAACCUAGCAAUCUCUUUCUUCAUAGCAUUCAUUUCGGUAAUGUUACUAGCACAAGCAUUUACAUCAACUUUAUAACAUCUUGCACAACCAUUGCUUGUAGAGGCAUUAGAAGAUAUGGAUGCAUCAUUAGAAUUAGAUGAUGUACUCUUCUUAAGAGUGUUGAGUUGAGCUUCAAGUGUUGUGUGAUUGGCUUCCAAACUUGUGAGGUUCUCUUGAAGCACAACCUUUCCAUUCUUAAGACUAGCACUAGUGUCCUUAGCUAAGGAGAGUUCCUUAGUUAAGUCUUCCACUUUCAUCUUCUCUUUAGCAAGACAUUCCUAAAAGCUAAGAAUUGUGUCAUUUUUAGUCUUAAGCAAGUCCUCUUGCAUCUUGAAACCCUUCUUUUUCAUUUUCAAGAAAAUUCUCAAGAGCAAUGGUUUAAAUAACUCUUCUUGCUCUCAAGAGUUUCAUCCAUAUCCUUUAUUUCCAUCAUUAGUUUCAUUCUUCUUUUAGAAGCAUGUUUUCCCAAACCUUUUAGCACCUUUUCAUCAUCACUAUUAACAUCAUCAUCUUCAUCAUCAUCAAGAGAAGGUGUUUUGGGAUCUACCUUAGGUCCUCUAGCCAUGAAGCAAGUAUGAGUGAAUUCAUCUUAUCAUCGGUAAGAUCUUCAAACAAAGAUGACUUGGAGGUUGGCACUCCAAUAGCCAUUGUUGCCAAACCCACUUCUUCAUUGAAGUCCGAGCUUUCUUCAUUUGAAUCCCAUUCUUGACCCAAGUGAGCUUCACCAACAUUCUUCUUGUACUUGCUCUUGUCAAACUUGGAUGAGUCAUUUUUCUUGAUCUUGACUUCCAGGCAAUUAGCAAUGAAAUGACCUUCCUUACCACAUCCAAAGCAUAGCCUCUUUGACUUCUUCUUAAUUUUGUUCUUGUCUUUGUUCUUGUCAAAGAAACCACCCAUUUUCAUCACUUUAUUUAUUCUUUUCAUGAACAAGGCCAUCUCUUCCUCAUCCAUACUCUCACUAUCACUAUCAUCACUAUCCUCCUUGAUAGUCGCCUUGGAUGAUGUGAUUGCUCCCUUCUCUUUGUUCUUGUUGCUUGCCUUGAGAGCUACCCCAUUGUUCUUUUUCCAAUUGCUCAUGUAUCUUGGACAUUUGACGGUGAUAAGAUGUUCUUCAAUUCUUCUAAUCACAUCCGUCGGAGUGAAUUUCUUGAACCCUCUCUUUUCCCUAAUCUAGAUAGGGAGUUGAACAUCUCUAGCCAUGUAGGCUAAGAGAAUCUUGUCAACUACCUCUCUUCUUCCCCACUUAUCACUUCCAAGAGAUUUUAUCUUGUUUAUGAUCUUGUUCAACCUAUUGUACAUAUCUUGUGGUGUUUCGUUUUCCCUAAUGAUGAAGCGGUUGAGUUCACUUUCCAAUGCUCUUAUCCUUCCUUCUCUAACCCUUCUUCUUCCUUGAUGGUUGAUGAAGAGAGUGUCCCAUACUUCCUUGGCAGAUUGCAACCCAUCAAUCUUAUCAAAUUUUUCGGCACACAAUGAGCUCUUGAUAAGACGCAAAGCUUGAUAGUUGCGUUGAAUAUCAAUUCCUUGGUCUUGUGUAAGAGUAGCAUCUCCGCAUGGAAAGGUUAUACCUACUUCAACAAUAUCCCAAAGUGCGGGGUUGACCGCUAUCAAAUAGUCCCUCAUCAAGUUUUUCAACUUGGAUUAGCUUACCACCUCAAAAUGAGGAGUCUUUCCCAAGUUGAUAGACCCGAAUGAGAUGUUAAGAUUUAAGCGACCAUAAUUGAAAGAGAUUUGGUGAAACUCCCUUUGUGGACCACGACGUCCGGAGCGAGUUGAUGUUGCAUCAUCAUAGUCGGAGUCAUUGUCGGAGGAAUCUUCAAUUUCUUGAUGCCUUCUUACACUUGUGAUUGCUCCACCGGCACCUCCUCCUUGAGUACUUGUUUGUACUCCUUGUGGUAGCACGGGUUGUUGAGUGACAUUUGGAUCGGUGAUAUCACCUCCUUGAGGCACCUCUUGACCACCCGGCGUCGACAUCUGGAUACUCCAAGCGGUUAAGUUUUAAUCCGGAGACAAAAGCUCUGAUACCAAUUGAAAAGAUCUAGGAUAUCGACUAGAAGGGGGAGUGAAUAGUCAAACCUGAAAUUUUUCACAACAUCGAAUAAGUUUAUCAGCAACUUCCGGAGUUUCUAGAGAUUGUUUCGAAAAUUCCGCAACUUGCGGAAUUUUCGGAGAAAUCUACGGAUUCUUCGGAGAAAUUCUUGCGGAAUUUUCGGAGAAAUCUACGGAUUCUUCGGAGAAAUUCUAAUUUUAACUAUGACCUUAUGCAAGCCUUACUCAAAUGUAAAUCGUUGAAAAUAGGUUAAGCAGUAGGAUAUUCUAGGCCUUUGACACAAGAUAGAAUAGCUGGAAACUUUCUAGAAAAGUAGAUCGAGCACAAACCCUAGAAAUAUGUUCUAUGCUUGAAUAUGAACAAAAAUAAAAACAACAAGCACAAGAGACACAUGGAUUUGUUUACCGGAGUUCAGCUUCACACCUUGAAGCCUACGUCUCCGUUGAGGAUCCACAAAGGGUGGGCUUCUCACACCUAAGCCACUUUCCUUACUCUAGCAACCACAAAGAUCAAGCUAGAGUCACUUACUCAAUCGUUGGGGUAAUACAAACUUCCCGUAGGCAGCCACAACCUUGGAUGCUCCACGAGCAACGUCUAGCUGGCUACGAGCUUAAAGCUCCAAGAGUAACAAACACGAAACCACCGGCUUGAUGAAUAACAAGGUGCUCAAGAGAUGGGAAAUCAGUGUCGGUGUUUAAACCUGGCAACCUACCAAGGAAGUACCUGAGGUAGAGUUUUGGUUGAUGGUUGUCGCUGAAAUCAUGAACUCAAUGGUGUACGUAGGAACACGAUUUAGACAGGUUCAGGCCGCUAGAUCACGUAACACCCUACGUCCUGUAUGUUGUUUUCUUGUAUUGCAUUGAACUUGUCUGGAGGGGGUCCCUGCUCGCCCUUAUAUACCGGGGGAGCAGGGUCACAGGGCGGUUGUUUUACAAGAGUACUAGUCGAAUUCGACCAGAGCGUCCUACUCCAACUGCUACGAGUAGUUUCCUUGCCCUCGACUAGUUCCUUAUACUCCAUGAAGGCUACAUCAUCCUGCACUAUAGUCUCCAUGUCCAAUAUGUCUUAGUGUCUAGCCCCAUAUGCGGAUCUGUCCAAACCUUCGAGUAGGCCUAUAGAUGUAUGUACGACAAGCUCCGAGUACGUUUGAGUCAAAUGUAGCAGUCUCGAGUACCUUUACAAACUUUGCUCGACUAGUUUAUGGUGCUCUUCGAGUACUUUGUCACGGUUGAGUCUUCAAGUAACUCAAGUACUGUCAUACGGCUGUAAUGUGCUCACGCCUCAUCUGACGGUUCCUUUGAACAUCUGUCCUUCAAUCUUUAUAUGAAAGUGCGAUGAAAAAUUGCACUCCAUAUGGAGUAGCCUCUGAGCCUUAGGUUGAAUUGGAGAAUCAGACUAAGGAUCAAUCUGCAUCUGUAUUGUAUUCAUCUUGUUCUUGAAGAAAAAGAAUUUUUUAACCAACAGGCACGGUGUACGCAGCCCCCGAGCCAUUACACGACUAGCUCCAGGAGGUAUAAGGGUCAACCACUGGUCAUCGUGACCUUUUGCCAACAGUCAACUCUAUCUCUUGUGAUAAAUCUGGUAACUGCCGAACAAGUGCGAAAACAUCGGGUCGUUAACUUCAUUAACUUUGUGCAGUUAUAAAGAGAUGGGAGAAGUUACCCCUCCCGUUUACUCUGUCAUUUGCCAUCUGCUAUCUGCUCUUGUGAAAAACCCUACCCUCGAGCACUGCCGCAAUCCAACCUCAUAUUGCUAGCGCCCCCCUCCCCCCGGCCCGCACGCGCCGAGCCUCCGGGCGUAUGCGGGUGAAGAGACGUGCGAGCAUCAGGAUGGGGAAGAAAGCUAUUGGUUCCAAGGGUGCUGAGGGUUCCUAGAAGGGAUCCAGGAAGGGGAAGGAACCCCAACUGCCACCGCCGAAGUACGGAAAAACCAACCAGACUGCGCCAAAAAACCAGGCCAUGGCCUGGAAGAGGUCGAGCAUGAAGGAGGAGAUCUGAGAGCUCGUGAUGGCGAAGCUACUGAAUGACAAGGCCAUUGUAGGCUAGAGGUGCAGCCACGGGAAUCCAUGGCCAUUGGAGACACACCCAGAUGAGACGGUAACCUUCGGGCUUUUUGUUGAGCGGGGUUUCGCUGUGCCCACUUCCGAUUUCUUCCGGUGUCUCUUGGAAUACUACCAACUGCAAUUGGUUCAUCUCAACCCCAAUAGCAUCCUCCAUAUUGCUGUAUUUGUACAUCUGUGCAAAUCUUUUCUAGGGAUUCAGCCCCACUUCAACUUGUUCCGCAAAAUAUUCCAUGUGAAGCUGCAGCCCAGUAAGGAGCACACCGAGGUAGUCGGUGGUGCAGGGAUCCAGAUCCGGGAGAAAAGCAGUAGUCUGUACCUAAAUUACAAGAUCAUUGAAUCGCACCCCAGGUGGAAAGCAAAGUGGUUUUAUGUUGAAGACCAUGUUCCGAAGUUGCCACCGCCCGGUGUGGAACAGUAGGUGGAUCGACGAACCGAUGACUGGGGAAAGUAUGCAAGUACCCCGAGCUUCUGGCCAGGAUCGGUGAUCUGAAGAUGAAGGGACUGAUAGGCAUUGGGGUAGCUUUCAGUUUCUUGAAGAGACGAGUACAACCCCUGCAACUCCGUCACACAUGGGGUUACGAGUACUCAGGUCUUAAUGACCUAUCCAGGAUGUCACCUGAAGAGAUCUCCACUGAUGAAGUGAUGGAGAGAUUUGGGCGUAUGUUCAAGAAUGCUGAGGAUAUCCCCAAGGUAGUUAGGGCCUUCAAUGCUUCCGACCUGCCAAGAGAAGUAUGUACCCGUGGCCGUAGCCCCUGAGUACCUAUUUGUUGUGAUCUUCUUUGCCGACUUGUUUCCCUGUAUGCAGGAAGACGUACUCGUGUUCUUUUCACUCCCUCCUCACCCCGGUGCUGAUGAAAGCAAAAACAUGUGGCGUACUUUCGGACUGGGUUGCUUUGUAAUUGGGGCCACCCAGGAGGAAGAGGAGGAGGAGGACAAAGGGACUGAGUCCCUCAGCAGCUCUAACACUGAUGCUGCUGAGGAUUUUGUUGUGCAGCAUCGAACCUCCGAGCAGGCCGGAGCAUCCUUUGGCACGUCGAAGCGUCUUGCUGAAGAUGAGCUUGAUGCUAGUUUAGUCCCACCGCCGAGGAGGAGGCAGACGACGGCUGUCAAAAGGCGCGUUUCGCGUAGUCUUCGCAUCAUCGAGGAUGCUCCUUCGUCGGUAAUAAACUUUGAGGAAGGGCAGGACCUUGAGGUGCGGGUACGAUUAAGCUUGUAUAGUAAUGCCACGACUACUGAUCAUGGCUUCUUUUUCCUGCAGGCUGUCGAUGAUAUAGUCGAGACAACGAAGAUGGCAGCCGAUACCAUUCCAACUGAAGUUCCAGCUGCCAGGGAGGAGAUUAAUGCUGGAGAUGAUCGCGAGCCUCCUACUUCUGAAGUGAACCCUGCGGAUACUGAGGUACUCAUAGGGGAUGAAGUUGGGACUACCCUGGCUGGCAACAUCCAGGAAAUGCUGCCGCAAGCCCCGCCAAGGGUGUCCGCCCCCACUGUCCAGCCGAUGCACUUGGUAGGGAACCCGCCACUAAAGCUGUGAAGAUCCACCAGGUGAGUACUUUGUUGUUAUUUGAGUACCAAUUUUGUAUCGAGUACUUGGUUGUCUUCCUUUUCUUAUGCUCUGUCUUGUGUAGAACAUCCUCGAACGUGGACCUUGGUGUAUCAGGUUCAGGGUCGACAACUGAUGGCGCAAGCCGCUCAAUUGAAGAUCUAGCCCCCGUGCCUACCGUAGUCCCGGCCGAGGAGAAUCCAGCUCUGGCACUAGAGGCGGGCGCCACAUUCUUUGUUGUUGCGCUGAUGCGUGAUGUGAUCAGCUCACUAAAGGAUGUUAUGGUGCCAGCUCCCGAGCCCAUUGUGCCCAAAGCGCUCCCUGAAGCCGUGUUUGUGGGGAAUCCGCCCAUGUCAGAGGUCUUGGAGGUGAUACCUCUCAACACUGCUGAUCCUGGAGACUUUGAGCUCGAGGAUGCAUGGACUCUUGAAGCCGUGGCUACCGCACUUGGGACAUCGUCUAAGGCGGGGACAUCAACAGGCCGCGAGCUAGUCUCGGUACCCGGCACAAGGAGAGAGUCGCCCACGGAGGUUCUGCUACGGCUUGAGCAGAUCCAGGCCUUCAAGAGCCCCCUGUUGGAUCCGUAGACGGUGGCUACCAUUCUGGACAUGAACCAGCAUGUCGCGUCGUAUACUGAGGUAAAUUUUGAUUUUGGUCUUGUACUAUUUAUCUUGCAAGUUGUCUUCUGUGCAUCCUCCGAGUACUAAUUUCUGGUGAAUAGGACCUGAUCAACCAUUCUCGUAGGAAUGCCCAAUUUCUACGGGAACAUGGCAAAGCCGUGCGCUGGAUUGAGGUGCUGGAGAGACAACUAGCCGAAGAAUGACUGCAAUCCACCCGGCUCAUGAUGAAGUUUGACAGUACGUCAGCGUCUUUCCAGGUGGAGAGGCAAGAGUUUAUGAGUGAAAAAGACCGCCUCGUUGCCCGUAACAAGUCAUUGUACCACAAGAUUGAAGGUGAGUACUAGCAUUUGCGGCCUUUGUCUGUCUGUAAUCUGUAGUUUUUUUAUUGACUUCUUGUUUCCAUUGCUCAGAAUAUAAAAAUCAAGAAACUGUGCUGAAGAACUCUGUCACUGAUUGGAAGAACGCCUUCUACCGGUUGACCGAUCAGUAUGAUAAGUUGGUGCGACGGGUGGAGAAGAUGGAGCACGAUCUGGAGAAGGAAUCCAAAAUGCAUCGAGAUGGUGAAGUAAGCCUUGUUGAAGCCAUGAAUACCCUCCGGGCGCAACAUGCUGAACUCCAGCAGUGGCUGAGGUGGCUCAGCCCUUGGCUGAUAUGGUGGAGCCCCUAGUUGAAGGCGUAGAACCUCGCCCACUAGUGGAAAAACUCUGAGACGCGCCAGCGAAGAUCACCAACUAUAUCCAAGGGAUGGCAAAGUCUAUGUCCAAGCAGCUACUAGGGUUCGUCAAGUCCUUCUACCCCAAGGUCGACCUGUCUCCUGUUGCGGAGGGGAUCGCUAGGGACUGUACUGAUGAAGUCUUUUAGCAGUAUCUGGAAGAGGUGGAUCCCAUCGCUGAAGAGGUGGCCAAGUAUUUGGAUCUGCAAUAGACUUAUCCUUUUUCCCCUUUUUUGUUGGGCAUGAAAAGCAUAAGUCAUGUAAUGGAAUACCUGUGUAUAUAACUUUAAGUCUUUGAGCGAUUUGUUGCUCUUCGACUUAGUUAUCUGCAACAUUUAGUGCAUCUCAAACUUUGGUCCUGAUUCUACUCGUUCGACCAAGUUGAGUGUCUACGCACAAGGCUACUAUUAUGAGCCUCUUUGGCAGCGAUUUGCUGAGUACUUGGGUACUCAAGCUAUCCGGUAGUAAUCAUUAAGUAGUGUCUCUAGGAUUUCUCGCGAUAGGGCUUUUUCCCACGACUCUUUGUAGCGGAGGACAUGCAUUAUUGUUGUUUUGUUAGGAAGGACACACAGGAGUACUGUUCUCCCUUAUCUGGUUGUAAAAGGGAUGAGCUGCAUGUGAGCACGGGCUCCGGAUUCCUGACGAUAAGGAUAACCUUCACGUGAAUAUUGUACUGGUGUCUGGCACUUAGGGAAUUUUUACUAUGCGGUCAUGGGUGCGUGGUGUAUCACUCCUGGAUGGUAGCUUGUUGCCUUGGCUAUAAAUAGUGCUGCUUCUACCUUCGGAGAGCUCAUGGCUCGGGUGAUAGCGAUAGUUGGUUUGAGGCUUUUGCUCUUCGCCAGGGGUAACUUCUACUAGAUCUCAUGAUGCCAGUAGAAUUCUCGUAAUGAGUGCCCAGAUGCUCCUUCCCUCCACAGUCUCUUUGGGUAAGUCCGGAGGCCACGAUGCUAUAAGAAUUCUCGUAAGGACAGAGCAUCGUACGUCCCAGUCUUUAUCCAGGUCACUGCUGAGGGAAGACUAAAGUACAACUUCCUUGAGCGCAGCUUUCUUGCGUGCGCUCUUUUUUUUUCCUUCCACCUCGACACUUCUUGCUCCGAGGUGUAGAGUAGCCCUGGGGCUAUUCACACACGCUUUGUGUGAUAUUGUAAAAGUCUAGGACUUCUGUUGUAACUACUAAUAAGCAUAAGCUUGUAGUCGUUGUUGAGCAUAUUGUUGUAUUUUUGUUGCCCCGAUUUCUUUGAGCAGUGGCAUUGAUGUACCCUAUGAAUCCUGGAGCUGCAAAAUUCGUUAAUAUGAAAUGUUCUCAAGACAAAAUUGUCAUCAAUAAGUAGUCGAAGGAGUAGUUUAUGUACUCUCAGACGACUUGGUGGCUCUUUGCGGUGCUAGUCCGCAUUGCGAACUGCUAGGUGAGUUGAAUAACUUGCGUGGACUUGUAAUUACAAGUUGCAUAGGGGCGUUGUGGCUCGGAGGGCUCCAUGGCUUAUAAGAUGCUGUUGACCCGCUUUUGCGAGCCGUGAUUGAGGCGAGGAUGAGUAGUCGCAUGUCGCCAAAAAAUAAUUGCAUUGAUAUGCUAAAAAACUUGCAACGUUGGCCUGAUGGCCUGUUUGCAGUGCCCCGUAGUCUUCUGACUAGGGGUAGAAACGAUAGAGAUGCUCGAUGUUCCAAGAUUUCUCGAUAUCUUCGCCGGAGAGGUGUUGUAGCUUGUACGAUCCUGGGCCUAUGACCUCGGAUACGAUGUAUGGCCCUUCCCAUUGUGAAUUAAGCUUGUGCAGCCCCUUGGUGUCUUGAAUAUGCUUGAGGACCAUAUCGCCUAUGCUGAAAGAAUGUUCUUUGAUGUUUCGAUCAUGAUAGCGACGGAGCCCUUCGAGAUAUCUUGUGGACUCGACGAGCGCUGCACAGCGUGAUUCUUCGAGGUUGUCUAUAUCCAGACACCUUGUUUCCUCUGCUGCCCCUUCGUCGUAUUGCUCAACUGCUGGGGAUUUUCACGUAACGUCAGCAGGGAAGAUAGCUUCUGAUCCGUAGACCAGGAAAUAGGGUGACUGCCCCGUAGGUUUGCAUGGCUGAGUACAUAGCCCCCAGAGAACAUUGGGUAGUUCCUUGAGUCACUUACCUCCUUUGGUGUUACCAAUGUCAUGCAAUCUUUUCUUCAGUGCUUCCAAGAGCAUCCCGUUGGCGCGCUCGACUUGACCGUUGGCCCUUGGAUGAGCCUCGGAGACGUAACGAAUGUCGAUGCUGCUAUUUUCACAGUACUCCUAGAACUCGUGGUUGUUGAAAUUGGAACCCGGGUCUGUGAUGACCCAGUUGGGGACUCCAUAGCGGUGGAUGAUCUCCUCGAGGAAGUUGAGUACUCUGUCUACCUUGGGGCAGGUUACUAGCUUCACCUCUAUUCACUUAGUGAACUUGUCGAUGGCUACCAGUACUCGAUUGAAUCCUCCGGGUGCCGUUGGAAGUGGACCAAUCAUGUCGAGCCCCCAGCAUGCAAAGGGUCAUGUUGAAGGUAUGUUAAUAACCUUGUAGAUGGGGACAUGUUGCUGUUUAGCGAAGAAUUGGCAACCCUAGCAUCGACGGACUAGUUCUUCAGCGUCUGUUAGGGCGGUUGGCUAGUAGAAUGCUGCUCUAAAGGCUUUGCCCAUGAUCGUGCGUGAAGAUGCAUGGUUGCCGCAAAUUCCUUUGUGUAUCUCCUCCAAUAUGUCCUUGUCGUCUUCUCGUGUGACGCAUUUUAUGAGUACUCCUAAUGAUGCACCUCAUUUGUAGAGCUUGUCUCCGGCUAGAACAUAGUUCUUGCUUCGUCGUAGGACAUGUUUUGCUUGCGGCUUUUCCUAGGGUAGUUUUUGCUCUUUUACGUAGUCGAUGAACGGAAUUCUCCAAUCCAUGUCAAUCAUCAUUACCUCCCGAUCUGGUUCCUGGAGAUCGCGAUCGGUGGUUGUAGCGGGUGCCGGCUCUGCUACGGAUGGCUUGCGGAGUUCGUGGAUGAAGCCUCCUGCUGGGACUUGAGUGCGGGUUGAACCCAUCUUGGACAAGACAUCUGCAACGACAUUGUUGUUGCGGACUAUGUGGUGAAACUCCAAUCUCGAAAAUUUGUUUUCAAGCUUGCGUACUUCUCUGCAAUAUGCGUCCAUAUUCUCUUUGUUGUGAUCCUACUCAUCAUUGACUUGGUUGAUGACUACUAAUGAGUCACCAUAGAUGCGUAACCUUUUGAUUCCCAGUGAUACUGCCAGGCGGAGCCCAUGCAGUAACACUUCGUACUCUGCUUCGUUAUUGGAUGCCUCCCAAAAGAUUUGAAGAACAUAUUUCAGUUGCUCGCCUUUGGGUGAUAUCAAGAGUACUGCUGCGUUGGCGCCUUCGAGCUUGAGUGACCCGUCGAAAUACACCACCCAAUGCUCUGGGCGCUCUGCCGGCGUCGGUAGUUGAUUUUCCCGCCACUCUGCCAUGAAGUCGACUAGAGCUUGGGAUUUGAUCAUGGUUCUUGGCUUGAAUUCCAGGGAUAGCACUCCAAGUUCUACCGCCCAUUUUGAGAUCCUGCCUGUAUCGUCUCGAUUGUGGAGAAUCUCGCCCAGGAGGAAGUCGGUGAUAACGGAGAUCUUGUGUUCCUGGAAAUAGUGGUGCGGCUUCCAUGAGAUAAGUAGUAUGGCAUACAACAAUUUUUGGAACGGUGGGUACCGGAUCUUGGAAUCUGAGAGUACUUCACUGAUGAAAUAAACUGGCCUCUGUACUUUGUAUACGUGGCCUUGUUCGGAUCUCUCGACUACUAUUGCCGUACUUAUGACAUGAGUAGUUGCGAUGAUAUAUAGCAGCAAGUUUUCAUUAGGAAUGGGUGCUGUGAGAAUCGGUGGUUUUGACAAGAAAUCCUUCAAUUGUAGCAGGGUUGUCUGCCUCCUCGGUCCACUAAAACUUAUCUUGCCGCUUGAGUAGUUUGAAAAAGGGAAGGUCCCGUUCUCCAAGCCUUGAAAUAAAUCUGUUGAGGGCCUCCAUGCACCCGGUCAGCUUCUGAACAUCUUUGAUACCGGACGGAUCUUGCAUGUCGAUGAUGGCGGAUAUCUUCUCAGGGUUUGCUUCAAUGCCUCUAUGGCCAAUGAUGGUAUGCCAAAAAUGCACUUUAUUGGGUUGAUCUUCCACCGGAAAGUCCGCAGACUAGCGAACGUUUCUUCCAAGUCGGCGAUGAGGUAAUCUGGAUUUCUGGUUUUGACUACCACGUCAUCCACGUAUGCCUCAACAUUGUGGUGUAGUUGUUUCUCAAAGCACAUUUGGAUUGCGCGUUGGUAGGUGGCUCCUGCGUUCUUCAACCCGAAGGACAUCAUCGUGUAGCAGAAAGCUCCAUAAGGGGUGAUAAACGCGGUCUUAGCCUGAUCUUCUUCCUUGAGAGCUAUCUAGUGGUACCCUAAGUAGCAAUCUAGGAAACAGAGUAGUGCGCAUCCAGCUAUGGAGUCGACGACUUGGUCAAUCCUCAAGAGCUCGAAAGGGUCCUUUGGACGAUGCUUGUUGAGAUCUGUGUAGUCAACGCAAAUCUUCCAUUCAUUGUUGUUCUUCUUCUGAACCAGGACAGGAUUGGUGAGCCACUCAGGAUGGAAGACUUCUUUUAUGAAGCCUGCCACAAGUAGUUUUGCCAACUCUUUCUUGAUGGCUUCCCUUCUGUCCUGGGUGAAUUGUCGUAGUCGUUGUCUCUUUGGAGUAGCUUUGGGAUCUAUAUUGAGUGAGUGCUCGAUUAGCUCCUGGGGCACCCCUGGCAUGUCUGCUGGUUUCCAUGCGAACAUGUCCCGGUUAGCCCAAAGGAAACUGACGAGCGUGCUUUCCUAUUUAGCAUCCAGCCCUGUGCCAAUCAGGACUAUCUUGGAGGUGUUGCCGGUCUCGAGGUCAAUGGCUUUGAAGUCCACGUCGCUUGCUGGCUUGACCUUGGUAGCCCCUGACUUGUUUUCUGAAAUUUCGAGUUCUAUCAGGGAAAGCUUCUUUGAAGCGGCGUAGACUUGCAUUGAAUUGGGCACUUGAGUAGUCACGGCCAAUUUGACGGCUUCGGCGUUGCACUCGUAUGAUUUCUUCAAGUCUCCGAGGAGGGAGAGCACUCCCUUAGGUCCCGGCGUCUUGAGUACUAAGUACACAUAAUGCUGGAUGGCCAUGAACUUGGCCAAUGCUGGUCUUCCGAGGAUGGCAUGAUAAGAAGUCUCAAAAUCCACCACCUCGAACUGGAUGUACUUCAUCCGGUAAUUCUCCUUGGUCCCGAAGGUAACUGGCAGGACUAUCUAUCCAAGAGAUCUGGGAUGAUUCCAUAGAAGGGAGAACUUGUUGGGGUGAGCAUCUCCAUGAUGUUGAGGCCCAUCUUCUUCAAAGUCUUAGCGAACAAGAUGUUGAGACCACUGCCAUCAUCGAUGUGUACCUUGGUAAGUCUGGAGCCAACAACAACCAGGUCCAGGACGAGAGGGUUCACUGAUCCUUCCUGGAGAAGGUAAUUAGUACCUCAAACCACUUUAAAGGUGUUGGGAUAGCAGGCUCAAUGGACAUGAUUUCCCGUAGUACUUGCUUUUGAGACCGCUUGGAGGCGGUACCCAGGAUUCCACCAAAGAUGACGUUGAUAGUUUUGGAUGGGGUCUGGAACUUGCCCUCACUGUCUUUGGUACUCGAGGGUUCUGGCAACUCCUUCAUUACUCUACGCAGGUUGUAGCAGUCUAUCGCAGCGUGUUCGUGAUAAGGGUGCCACGGGCAUUGUUUCUUCAAAAGCCCGCUGAAAGCAGGCCUGUCUUCAUGUUUGCUGGACCCUUUCUUGGCCGAUUGCGACAUCGCUACGACAGUGUUGUCUAUCUUGCGCUAGCGGUUUUUACCUCCCGAGUAGUUAUUUCGAUGGUCACUGUUACGGUUCUUGUUGUGGUCCUGGCCGUUGCCUUGAUUGUUGUUUUGUUGGCCUCGAUUGCAAUUUGACUCGAACCUUUCGAUCUCUUUGUCUUCUUCGUCUGCCCAAGAUUGUGCCAUGGUCUUGAGCGACUUGACAUCCUGAGGACGUCGCCUGCCGAAGUCUUGGAACAUACAGUGAUUGUAGAGACCAUUUUGAAAACAGUCAAUUACGACUUCUUCUGAGAUGUCUACGAUAGUGACCUUCUUGUUGAAGAAACGAUGCAGGUAGCUUUGUAGAGUCUCGUCCCGCCGCUGCUUGAUUUGUGCCAAAUCGAUUCUGUUGGUCGGGUGCUGCAUCGCUUCCACGUAAUUGUUGGUGGACGCCUUCUUCAAGUCUUGCCAAGAGUUGAUCAAAUUUGGCUUCAAGGACUCGAGCCAAGUUAGUGGAGUGGUUUCCAUGCAUAUGGGAAAAUAUAUGACUUUUGUGUCAUCGGUGCCCCCUGCAGCUUGAACUGAAUCGCAACCAUUGGACUGGAUCUUGCUUGCAAUCGUACUUGGAGAUACCCAGAGAUUUGAACUUCUCGGGUAGGAUAGUCUUUCUGACCCGACUUGUAAAGGCGGGGAAGCUGUCGUUGUUGUUGUCGUCGCCCCUAUAAUCGUUUUCGAGUUCGCGUUCAUGACGUCGUCCAUUGAUGAUGUUUCGAGCAUCGUGAUUGUUGUUUAUCUUCUGUCGGAGAUCCUCGACGUCAUGUGCGGGUUCGGGAUCAACUCUGCGGUGGCGCCGACCUCCCACAGAAGUUGUCCGACUACCCUUCGGUAUAUCUCUAUUCUAUCUUGGGCCUUCAAUUGCACCCCGGUUGUGUCUGGCAUCCUCAUGUAGUCGAGCCAAGGGUCUUGCAUGGUCUCUGUGGCUACUGCCAUGCUGACUUCACAUGGACGGGAUAUGUGAUAUUGAAGGAAUCAGGUUCUGCCUGUCGAGUAGUUCGUAGGCAUGUUUCGCUAACUGUGACAAUACUGUGGUGUACUUGUCUUGUAACAUGGCAUGAGUGAUGAUGUCAAUGGAGGCGACAGUGGCGAGGGGCGUCCGGUGCUUCCGCGUUUGCACUGCCUCAAAAGCUUUGUCUAGGUUCAUGAUCGGGAGUUGUUCUGCCAAUUGUUGGCGACGUUUGGCUCUCGAUGCGUUCCUUUCUCGUCGUUGGGUUCUCUGCCCUUCUGUUUCUUCACCGACAAUGUUGGCGGAAAGUUCAUCCUGUGAGACAUCAUCUGGGUAACACUCCUGGCAAGGAUUCCUCUCUGGUUGUCGUUGAUCGCCGUCCUCCCCAUCGCCCGCUGUGAUAAGAGCAAACAGUUCUCUAUCUGGAGAAUAGCUACCAGAGCUCGAGGUGAUGACUUCUGUGGAGCCAUUGUCUUCAUGGAGAAGAGACAGGGGUAUUCCCUCCUGGUGCGGGAGAACGUUGAGGUGGGCGAUGAGGCGUGAUUCGUUGUCUUGGGUGAGAAAAGAUGGCUUCAUGCUUAGCCAGUAGACGAAUCUGCCUUGGGGUGUUGAGAUCACCAGGCCCUGCUGUGGACCUGAUGAAGGAGUCUCCUCGACGGAAUCCAAAUAGAGAUCGAAGUCGCGGUCCUUAAGCGGCCCCAAGUCGGAUUGCAGUUUGGAUAGGGUUGCUUGAUGGACAGAAACCGCGUUACGGAGUCUGAAUGGGAAUUGGCUCGGAGUUUGAGUUCAUUCGCACGAUGGCUGGAUUGCCUGCUCGUGCGGACCAAUCCGAGUGGAUGUAGAGCUCGAGUUGAACUCGGACUCGUUUAUUGUUAGAUCGAAGAAUUUGUUGAAUUUCUCGACGAAAUCCUCCGUAGCUUGAUGACGAAGGUUGAUGUCGUGGAGCUUCUUCUCCAGAGCCUCCACGAUUUAGCGGUCGAAGUUUCCAGCGCCAUCUACGACGCAAACCUAGGAGCCGAAGAUGAACAUCGCGCCUGCUUUGAACGCGACUGUGGGCUUGAUGAUGACUUGAGCUAUCGAACUUGCAGGGGGAAUUUCGGUGAUUCCCCCUACCUGGCGCACCAGCUGUCGAUGUUUAAACCCAGCAACCUACCAAGGGAGUACCCGAGGUAGAGUUUUGGUUGCUGGGUGUCACCAAAAUCAGGAACUCGAUGGUGUACGUAGGCACGUGAUUUAGACAGGUUUAAGCCGCUAGAUCGCGUAAUACCCUACGUCCUGUAUGUUGUUUUCUUGUAUUGGAUUGAACUUGUCUAGAGAGGGUCCCUACCCACCCUUAUAUACCGGGGGAGCAAGGUUACCGGUCGGUUAUUUUACAAGAGUACUAGUUGGAUUCAACCAGAGAGUCCUACUCCAACUACUACAAGUAGUUUUCUUGCCCUCGACUAGUUCCUUGUACUCCAUGAAGGCUACGCCAUCUUGCACUAUAGUCUCCAUGUCCAGUACGUCUCAGUGUACAGCCCCAUAUGCGGAUCUGUCCAAACUUUCGGGUGGGCCUAUAGAUGUAUGUACGACAAUCAGCUCACUAGCACUCUCUCUUGCCUUACCCUUGAAUCUCUCCUUAAAUCCCCACCACAUCUCACCAAGAAUGCCAAAGGGGAAUAAAGAGGGGGACUUGAAUGCUUUUCUGUAGCUCAGCACGAGGUUAGGUCAAGAUUGACUGUGGGAGGGGUGAGGGGGUAUUUAUACCCCUUCACCCCGAAACUAGCCGUUGGGGGUUAAGUUCCGGAGUUUUCCGGAACUUUCUUCGCAAACUCCAGAACCUCCGGUUUCUUCCGGAACAUUUUUCGAAAACUCUGGUCCUCCAGAAUAUUUCGGAACAAUCUCCGGAAAAAUUCGGAGCUCUCAAGUUAGCACCAUUCUAAGUAUCCUCAUGGGAUGUGCAGGUGCAAAUGUAUCUCUCAUAGGUUGGUUAGAUCAUCUUGAGCACCUUUUUCAACAAAAGACCAAUGUUUACGCAUCCCUCUUAAUAUUGCGGCAUUCCUAUACUCAAAUUCAAACCAAAAACAAAUUUAGCUUUCAAGGUAUGCCCUUUAUCUAUUUAUUUCCUUUUUGAGGAGUCAAUCAUAAGUGCUCCAUGUCCAUCAUUUCUUUUAAACUUGCUUAUGCACUUGAAAGUUCAUUAGACACUUAAGCUCGCGUCAUUAAUCCACCAAAACCCACUUAGAAGGUCAAGAUACUCUUCAAUGUCUUUUUUAGAAGAUCUCUUGUUGGUAAUAACCUGACCGUGUGGCUACACUUAGUUGCUCGGGUCAUGAAUAUCCAACUAACAUAUCAAAAGGAUGUUUUCAUUUGGUCCCUUAAUCAACAUGGAUCUUUCACGGUUUGUUCUAUAUAUAGAGCGUUAGCUGUAACCAAUGUUGUGCCCCAUAAUCACAUUAUAUGGAAGCUAAAAAUCCCGCAAAAGAUUAAGAUCUUUAUGUGGUACAUACUGAAAGGAGUUACUUUAACCAAGGGAAAUUUAGCAAGGAGGUGGUGGAAAGGAAGCGUUAAAUGUUGUUUUUGUAACUUGAGGAAAUUUAGGAAGGAGGUGGUGGAAAGAAAGUGUUAAAUGUUGUUUUUGUAACUUGAACGAGAAAAUACAACAUCUUUUCUUUGAUUGCCAGAACGCUAGGUUUAUUUGGAGAUUGAUACAAGCUUCUUUUAAUUUACCUCCUCCAUUAAGUGUUAACCAUAUAUUUAAUGAUUGGUUACAAGGCGUAGAAAAGAAACUUAAAUACCAAGCCUUGGUUGGAGCGUGUGCCAUGUGUUGGGGCAUUUGGCUAAGCUGCAACGAUGAGGUUUUUAGCAAGACACGAGCUUUUUCAUCUAUGCAGGUACUGUUCAGAGGAACAUAUUGGUGUCACUUUUGGGCAUUGCUGCAGCAGGAAGGAGAAAAACUCCAAAUAAAUUGGGGGUGCCGUGUACUUGAGACAGCGGUGAUUGAGACCUUUGCUUCAAAUGGCUGGUGUUUUAGUAAUAGACUACAGUAUCUUGAUUUAAGUGUGUUGGAUGUGAUGAACGUCUAUUCAAGUACCUUUUCUUUGAGUCGGACCUUGGUCCUGUGUGUAAUAAUGGACAGCUAUAUGUAUCAAUCGAUACAGAGGCUGGAAUAUUUCCCUUUCAAAAAAAAUUAAUUGGUGAGCUGAUGCUGGUUGGGAGGGGCCUAGACUCGCCAUUGGAGAGAUGUGGUGUUUUUCUGGUCUGGUUUGUUCGAUGUGGAUGGGCAUUAUUCUUCAGGAGGAUCAUUGGUUGCAAACUAGUGUCGGACUACAAACAGAUUGAAAAUGUUGACUGUUUGGUUAUUAAUUGAUGAGAAGAACUGAUAUAAAAGGGUUCACUAGUUCCUUUCAGGUGUCAGAUAGGCUAGCAAUUCAUUCUCUAUUGGUCCUUUCGUUUUGGCUCAUAUACUUACAGUUUACUGCGAAAAGGGAUUGCUGAGAUAAUCUUGGCCAGGGGACAGGGGUUCAAGUAGACAUUGAUUAAUCAGACAUCCGAGGAGGUAAUAAAGUACAAGUUUAUAGUAGUUUGUACAUUCGGUUUGCACCUGCACGGGAAGGGUUGUUCUGCAAGUAGCAGUGCCUUUCGAAUUAUUUAGCAUCAAAGUGGAGUUUGGCCUGGUUGUUUGCUCAACUGCCUCUUUUAUGUUUGUUCUGCAGUUCAUUCUCAAAUCCGUGUGGCUAUCCUGCCACCCGCUAUUCCUUUCAUCAGCGCCUAAUGCAAAUUAUGCAAUGUCACUUUUAGCAGUGCCUUGCCCUCUAAUAUGGAGCUCUGACAAGUUUGGUAUAGCUAUAGAUUCCACUGCGCAUCUUGAGGUAUUAAAUUAGGCCUUUCACAUAGUUCCAGUAACAAUGGACUUAAAGAGUACUAGUUUAAUGUUGGAUUGCUCCCACCUUCAGAUACAUUGAGGACAAUUUAAUGUUGGAUUGCUCCCACCUUCAGAUACAUUGAGGACAACCUUGUUUAAAGCCCCCAGAAAUGGGCAAUCUACAUUAAAAAAAAUAAUCAAUUAAAAUAUCCCGUUCACUAUGGAGGAAGUGACACUUAAUUGAUUAUUCUAUAACAUUAUAACAAAUACUCCAUUCGUCCGGCAAAGAAUGUCCAUUUAGACUCAAAAAUUUAUCCCACAAAGAGUGUCAUUUUACCUCUAAUAAACCUCAUCUAAUUAAAGCAACAUUCACAUCAAUUAAAAAAAAGCAUGUAGAGAAGCGCGUAGAGACGAUCAAACGAUCAAUUGAUAUUAUUUCUAUGAUUCUAAUGCACUCCGAAAAACUAAACAGACAGUACGAUUUUCAAUCACAAUUAGUAUUAGUUACUAUUAGCGGCAACAUAGAUAUUUCUCAUUACUACUAAUGUAUCUAAAAUUUUCUAAACGGACACUUAUUUUGGGACGCGGGGAGCAGGGGCUUGGCGUACAGCCGUACACAGAAUAUUUGAAUGAAUCUUGAUCUUUCUAAAUGUCAUUGUGAUAUAUGAAAUGCCCUUUUAUUUUAUUUUUUUUGAAACGAGAAAUGCCCUUUUUAUGGUAUGCGGUAAAAUUUUGAAGCGGGAGGCAUGCAUACAGAUGACUGUAAUUCAGGUGAUCAAGAGAUCAACCUAUUAUUUGUUCUGUACAAUGCAUAGAGUUCAAUACAGUAAGGUGGCAUUCUGAUUUUGCACUGUUUACAGAAAAGGAAUUAGACUGAGUUUGGGUAGCAUUGCUUUUAGUAGACCUCUACAAUAACUAAGUCGAGCUUUUAUAUCCCAUUCUGUAGCUCAAUUCUUGCGCUAUUUGAUGUCCCGCUCCUUUUGAGAUUUUGCAAGUUUGAUAACUUACCUCGUUGGGAUCUGAUUGCAUGAACCUGCAAAACAUCUUUGGUAUUUUUUUUUCUCAGACUGGUUUCUCCUUACUUUUUUUUUGUGUGCCUUUGUUUAGGUACUAAAGUUUAGGUUGUUAUCAGCUUUUGGGACUCUAGUAGAUUACCUACCAAGGGAAAGCCCAAGAGGACCUAAACUAGGGAAUAGUAAAACAAUCAUUCUGUUAAAAUUAGAAUAUACUUGGUGAAUAAAUAAUAUAACACAGCCAAAUUUAUUGGAUGAGUUGUCUCUGUGCAAAUUAUCAAUGUGGCAGUCGACAUUCACAAUUGGGCCAAGUCCAACAAGCCAGCAUUUGUGUUCUUUUAAGCCCACUGGAAUCUAUAUUUGUCCCACCAUGCCAUCAGGAAGCUUCAACUGGUUCAUCUAACUCGUUUGAAUAAUCUGGGAAAAGUAAUCUAUUGGCAUGGGCACCUUGGGCUUGAUUUGUUAGCUGCAUCAGUUCUAAAUACAUGAUUCUAUGCUCCCUGUUGGGUGAAAAAUAUCUGUUUGGUUUAGAUAGAAGAGUAGUCAGCAUUUAUGAGGCAACAUUGUGGGUUCUUGAAAAUUAUACUGUGGAGAUAUUUACUCCCCGCCCAUUGUUAGCUACACUGAGACUUUUUUCAUCUGCUACACCAUUCUUUUUUUCAAGAACAAUCUGUUACAAGAUUUUCAUGGUAACAAAGAUGCAUUUUUCUUUUCUCUGCUUCAUAACCAUCCAUAAACACGGUGUUCUACACCAGGUGUGGAGAGGGUAGUGAAGGUUAAAGUAGGUAUAUGGUUUUCUAUGCCUUCUUUUCCAUUUUACCAACUUUAUUUUCAUAGACACCAAAGGGCAUGCUGAACAUUGGACUAAAAUUCACUUAACCAGUCUCUACAAACUAGGUGUUUUCAAGCUUAAAGUUUAGUUUUAAAACUGGUGCCUCAUCACUGUAAAUAUCUCUCCCAUAGUUUGUUUUCAAUCUCUAGUUAUUGAUUAUAGCUGCUAUUAUGUUGCUGUCACGUAUUUCCGAUUUGUUGGAAUUGAAAUGGGGUCGAGCCUCGUCUCGAGAAAAUAUUGAUGUCAUGUGUUUUUGGACAGAUUACUAUAGUGGCUAAACAACAGUAGAGGCUUGAAAUAUUUUUCGAUGACACUUCCACUUUUCACUAGAUCAUGAUCUGUUCCAUUUAAGUAGUAGACAGCUACUGAAAAAAGCUACCUCUUCAAGCUGUUGAAUGCCCUAUUCCAUAUUCCAUAUGAUAGACUAUAUUUCCCCUGAAAAAACGUAUACUUUUGUUCUAUAAGCAAAUAAAGCAUGCUUCUUUUUCGGAUCAAGCAAUCUUCUACCUUGGUGGGUAGCGGAGAAUCAAAUCAAUAUGAGAGUAUUGCUCUAGCUGCCGCUGAAUUAACCUAGAUUCAAUUGUUACUCUCUGAACUAGGUUGUACUUUGUCUUCCCCUCCUACAGAAAUUAAGCAUCCGGAUCUGAUCAAAUAUUGGAAGUAACUUAAAACUAACAGAAGAUUUUGAUACUAAAUUGAUUAUCAUGAUGUCUCAAUGCUGACUUUGCUGUCGUUAACAAUUAAGUUGACUAGGUCUUCAAAAAAAAUAAUUAAGUUGAGUACAGUCUAGCAGCAACCAUCAUUUUUGUACCCAUGUGGCUGCAUCUUUGCUUACAUGUUCAAAUCAUAUGUGAUUACCUCAGUUUAGAGGUUGAAGUGUGAAAAAUCAACAUCACUGCAUUAUGUUUCCAAAAUUUUCACGUUCAGACUUGGACCUUCAAACUUCACCGGCAAUCUCCGUCCAUCUUGUUGGACACCACCACCGCGCGCGGCCCGAGACUGCCUGGCCCCGGAUGGCCUGCGUUAGAAUGGGCCUCCUCGGUCGGUCUCGGUGUUUAUAGUUGGGCCUCUAAGUAAACCUCAAGCCCAUCAAAUAUCAGCUUCUACUGACAGGUAGGACCCAUGACCCUGGCCCCACUUCAUAGUUGCCUUUUGCAAAGCAACACGCACCCAACACGAUCACGCGACGAUUAGCCAAAUCAAAUCAAUCAUCGCGAUUCUGAGUCCUAAUCCGGACGUCGCCACCGUCGCCGGCUGUAGGUCCCCUUCAAUCCCCGAUGGAGCCCUCGCCAUCCUCCUCCUCGCCGGCGGCGGAGCGCCGGCGGUCGCCGGAGGUGAGGAGGGUGCGGAAGCGGGCGCUGGAGGAGGUGCUGGAGCAGGUCCAGCGGGCGGUCGAGAUGCUGCGCGAUGCCGACGCUGAUCUCGGCACGUCCCUCUCGGAGGACACCGCAGCGGCGCCGCCGGAGGGUGAGGACCGCAAGGCCGGUGUCGGUGACGAUGCAGAUGACGCGGCGUCGUCGUCGGUGGCGAGUGACUCCGACUACGAGACGACCCAGGUGAGCAGGACAGGAGGCGUCGUGAUCUCUAACGAGUCACGAGUUCUUGACAGGUUGAGGAUUCCGGGAACUAGUAUAGGAUUUGGAUUUCCGAAUUAUAAGUCGUUGCAACAGGCGUAACUAAUGGUAAUGGAAAAUUGCGAUGAGCUAACUGAAUUAGCUACUAUUUAGACACUACAAACUGAAACCAAACACUUCAUAACUAUCUGAGAUGGACACGUGGUUCGGAAUUACUGCGUUGUCACUGUUUCUGCGCUGUGGUGAGACUAAAAAGGUCUUUGUGUUUCAGUAGCUUGUUGGGUGGAUUCAGGCUAUUGUCAACCCUUUGGUAAAUUUAGUAUCAAGCAUUAUGUGCAGUUGCAUUACCGCCAGUUCGAUGCUGAUUGCUCAUGCCGUUCUGACUUUGGCAACUACUAGGGUAUGCGUUCUGUCGUUUUUAGGUAGUUUGCAAGUGUGGAAAUAGAGGUACAGCAUGAAAUAAAUGACUUUGGAUGUUACUGAUAAGUUUAGGUGUGAUACGUUGCAUAUAUAUUUCUCCAAAAUAUGAAAAUAAACAUUUUGGUGCCUCUGUCUCAGAUGCUGCAAGAAUAGUAUUUGUUAUUAAAAAAAGAACAGUAUUUGUAAGUUUAGGCAAAUCACGUUUGCAGUAUGCCAGUAUCCUCAUUAUGUAUUUCCAAUUUCCUGUCUGGAAUGUGGGGUGAACAGCUUUAUGGCACUUAACAGAAAUCUCUUUCUGGAGUGCGAGGCGACACAGAAUUUUCCACAUGGUUCAUAUGCUCUGAUUCUGCCCUAAAAUUUAAGCACUUGCUUUUACCUUGCAGAUGUGUGACCUUCUUAAAUCUAAGGUUGAAUCACUUGAGUUCCUUAAAAAGCUCGAUGGUAUUCAGAAGUCAGUAUAUCAAGAUGGCACAGGUACAUCUCUGCUAGAUGUACAUAUUAUAUUACUAUAAGAGUCAUGUAAGUAUGACCAGCUGAAAUUACUAUUGUAGUGAAUAUGCACCUAGAUGGCUAGAUGUGUUCCUUACCCUGUUCCUUUUCACUCUCAUUUCCCUGAAUUAAAGAUAACUGUACUUAAAAAAAAUUCUCCACACUUCUUUGGCACAGUUGAACCUGAUGUAUCAUGGGAUAUAAUAAAGGCAGUGGAUUUGUGGGAAGAUGAUGACCCAGAUGAUGGGUAUGUUCUUGUUAAGCAGGAGGAUGUAGUUGAUGGGAUUACGUCCUUUAUGGCCGCAUACUUGUUAUCGCUCAAAAAGACUAAGGUAGCUAUUUCCUGUACUUGAUGCUGCACCAGGAGCUUUAUGUCUCUCCUUGCAUGAGUGGUGCUUAAUGCCGAGUGUCAUGUUGUGCAGGACUUGUCUCCUGAUCAACUUCAGAAAGGUUAGUUCCUCGUUUCUUAAUAUAGGUGAAUGAUUAAAUCGUAUUUUGAUCGGAAAUUCUGCCAUUCCUGUGCCAGCACUUCGGAAGACAUUUUCAGCUGAAAAGAAGAAAAGUAGAAUCAGGAAGGCCUGGGAUGGGACUAAAGUCAUUUAUAAUGUUGCUUCAUGGGGUGCUACAGCUGUUGGGUAAGUCUUUCGUUAUAGUAACCUUGGACACGAAUCAUUACUAUAGCAUUAAUUCUUCUCAAAACAUUUUACUUCCCAAGUUGAAUGAAGAACUGAGUCUUGGGGUGCUGAUCUUGGCCUUCCAGUCUCCAUAUUGUUAUGAAAAUAAUGUUGCUGUACCUGGUUAUGCAGCGUCUACAAUAACCGAGCAUUGCUUACGGUCGCAACUACAGCCUUUCGGACGUCCUGCCGUGUGAUAUCCAAGUUUCUAUGAAUAUUGAGUCAACAGCUAUGUUGCAAUUACUUGCGUGUGAUUCCCAUUGUUCAGGUAGAGGGUAACACAAAACUUGAAAUCAUUUGUUCAGUCCGUUCUGAUGCUGGAAAUCUGUGUUGGCGGGCGAGAUAAUGAUUUGUAGUACCACUGUUAUAUUUAGCAUUUGUAUCGCUCAACUGUAAAUAUUCCAUUCGUUUUUCAAUAAAACUGUGUUUAUGCCAGAAUAACUCAAUAUGCCCGAGUUAUUCAGAAAUGUUCUUCUCGUACUGUUUCCCUGUAUCAAACGAAACGAGAAACCUUCAUUGACCUGCUUGCAUGAAACGUGGAUUUGAUGGAGAAGAUGCCACAACGAAAUGCUCGGAUGCUGCCAAAAGCAUAUUCUCAUGGAAGAUGCGUUUAAACGAACGUAAUUUAUGCCGGCACCUUUCUUCGUCCCUUCGUAUUUUUGUAAGUAAAAUAAAGGGAGACCCAAGGGGGAAAAAAAAUUCUAAGAUACAUCGUUGCAGCAACCGUGUGCGAGCACAACCAAAUAAGGAACUAAUGGGUAAUGGCACAUCAGGAAGACGCACGCAUGGUGAGGCUCCUUUUUAUUCCAACAUAAUUUUACACCGAUCCAUACCGCCCCAAAUCUAUGCAGCCUGCAUGUCUUCAUCUACAAUGCAUUCUCCGAGAUAAACCUUGACGCUCCGAGGUGAACCACAGCUGCCUUCUGCUAUAAUCGCUCUGUCGUUCGCAGCCAUGUGCUGUAUUAUUUUGUAGAUCAUCUCAAUCUGAGCGAGCAAGUGUACAGCAUGUGUUAGUUCAAAGAGCAACUGGUUUAUGCUGAUGAAAAUCUGUGAAACUUACAUCUUCAGGGCAAUGACAGCGAUCUGCGAUUUCAUCUAGGGUCAAUGGCUCAGCAGGGUCCUUGCAGCUGGGAGACAACAAAUACAUAAAUCAGGAGGAAUCCAGACAUUCAGGAAUCAAUCAAUUGGGGGAGUAAAAUGCAGAUAUUUGUAAACAAACUUAAGUGAUGUCCUUUCAUGUGCAAAUUUUGUCCUUGCUUGUGCUGAUGAAAGUUGAGUUCAUGUGCAUUGGAAAUUGGGAACAAAGAAAAAUGUUUCAUGAGUAAGGAAAUGUUGAGUUAUAUUGAAAUACAAGACACAUGUUUCUAUUUGUUAGAAUAUUGAUUGUUUUCUACUCAAGGAUGUGUGACUGCUAAAAAAGCAGGCGUCUAUCUGCAGUUUUGCAGCCCCAAGAGGACUACUAAUAAGCCAACAAAAUAUUCUUUUUUCAAAUAUAUACCAUGCCGAACUUCUAAAAGGCUUUCAAUGGAAAUCUCUAGGAGAAAGGGGCAUUAUCACAACUGUGAGGUGGGGUGCACUUCUAGUGAUCCAAGUAAAGCAUCAUAACUAGUAAUAUGACCAAAAAAUACUACACACAACCAAUCACUUCAUAGAGAAACAAUAACCAAAAAAUAAAUCAGAGAUUCCAUACGUGGCCUCAUUUAAUACAAUCAGCACUCUUUUCUGAAGUGCCAAUACUUCUCCAGCUGCCUUUUUACCAGCCUCAACACCUGUAGAUCACAUAGCCCACACAUAAAUGCAUAAAACAAAAUAGCUUAAUGAUACUGAGCUACAUUACUUUGUUUUGAGAAGCAUACCAGGUUGAUGAUAGGCAUUGAUAUUUACCAAAGAAGCAUAAAUCCCCACAGCACGUUCAUAAAGUGCAACCAGUGCACCAACAGCUCUAGGAGUUACUUCUUGAACCGUAACGGAGAUAGAUUCCCGGUCGUUUGCAUAAAGAGCAGAGCGAGUUCCCUGCAAAAUAUUGUAUAUCUCAGUUAUGUCUAUCAUAGACAAAUCAACAUAAUUUUGUCUCCUUAAAGUUCAAGGUUGACCUGCAACAUCCCAAACAAAUAGUCACCGCAUGUGACUCCAGGUUCAAGCUCCCAAUCAUGACCAGGAGGCCUGUCUCGCAAGACCUCGAUAAAAGUAACAAAGAAGUUAUGUACACCUUCUCUCAGCUGCUGAAUGUAACUGUGAUAAGAAAUAAUUCAUUAGAUCCUGCAAUUUAACUAUAGUAAAUAUUGCAGAAAAGUGAGCACACACUUACGCGUGCUGGUCAGUGCUUCCUUUGUUACCAUAUACAGUUAGCCCUUGAUUAACCUGCCAUUGGAAAUUUCUAUGUUAAACAAAGAGAAGUGAUGAAUAUAGAAUCUGAAACCUACUAGUUCAGAGAAACCGGUUACAGUAAAUUGACUAAAAUAUUUAAGACUUUUUACCCGAUUGCCAUCCAGGUCGAAUUCUUUCCCGAGGGAUUCCAUGACAAGUUGCUGCAAAUAUCUACUCAAAAGUAGCAAACUAUCCUUGUAAGGAAGUACAACCAUAUCCUGAAAGAGAGGAAAGUCAAAACAGUAAGGAGAGUACUAAGAACUACAUUCAUCAAUAGAAGAUGCUGCAACCAAUGAAGCUGCAAACCUUAUUGCCUAUCCCUUCUGAUGCCCAGUACCAACAUAAUGCAAGCAAUGCUGCUGGAUUUUCUUUAACCUGUCAAGAGGAAAACCAUGUUUGAAACAUUCUUGAUAGAUGACCAUAUCGUUCAACUGUACAUUGUCCAUGUUCUUGUAAUCAUACCACAGUGUUCCUGGUUUCCUCAUCCAUCAAAGCUGCGCCAACAAGCAUUUCCUUGAUAUCAAUACCCUGGCAACAACUCCUCAUGUUAAUUUGGAAGUGUGGAAUAAACAUAAAGGAAAAGUGGGAAAGCACUUACCUGCAAUGCAGCUGGAAGUAAACCCACAGCUGACAUUUCCGAAGUUCUCCCACCAACCCAGUCAAACAUAGGAAACCGAGCUAACCAUCCCUCUAUUCUGGCAGUAUUAUCCAACAGAGAUUUUUCUUGAGUAAUUGCAACACCCUGCAAAACAGACCAUUCUGUCAAAUAAUGAAUUGUUCACGCGAUCAUAUAUCAAGCAUGUGGAAACAGUGCAAGAACCAACAAAAACGAUUGCCCCUGAACUACUUGCAACAGAAUCAUAAAAAACAAGCAAGAACCUGAGGUCAAAACCUGUUUUGAGAAUUCCAGCCCCGCAUCUCGGAAGGCUUUCUGUACUUCCAGCAGACCAUUGCGGGUUUCAGGUGUGCCGCCACUCUGUAAAAAUAAUCAGUACCACAAAUAAGUUAAUAAUACAGCUGGGAGAAGAUCUACAAACUAAUCAAAUUUGGGAUCUUUCAGUACCUUAGAAAUGACAAUUACAAGAGUAGUCGCAAGUUCAGGUCCUAGUUGAGCAAUUUGAUGAUCAAUCCCAGCAGGAUCGGUGUUGUCAAUAAACCUUAUCUGAGAAAUCAAGCAUAAUAAGAGGUAUAUCUUACAACUGACGGACAUCUUAAAUCCAGAGGAUAGACUAAUGCAAUUAAAGUGCAUUGCUUGGAUUAUGAAUUAGGGGCGUACCUUCAGUGGGGGGUUAUCAGGUGCAAGUGCCUCAGCGACAAAUUGAGGGCCCAAAGCUGAUCCUCCGAUUCCUAUAGACAGGAUUGAAGUGAAACGACCAGAUGGGGAUUGAAUCUGCAUUUACCAUGUUAUAAGACAUCAGCACAAAAAAGAAUGUACCAAAAGCCUGAAUAAGAUGUAUAUGAUUAUCAUGUCAUAUCUUCAGUACAUUGGAGCAAGAUUAUUCGCAGGUAUGCUCCUCUAAGCUCUCUCGUGAUGGCAUAUCACAAUAUUUUGUAACAAAGGACUACCCAUAUUAAAAAAAAGAGAGAUGAUUGUAAUCCACUUGUACAAUCGCAUCCCCUAAAUUGUUCCUGGUGCUUUGCCUCGGUCAGAUAAACAUACGUAUAGCUGGCACCAUUUCUCGGACAGACUUGAGAUUCGCUAUGGUUGCCGAAUUACAAUGAAAAUGAGGUUUUCUAAUGGAUGGAGCUAAAAAUGCUAGAUUAGCACUGCAAACCAAGCAUGCUGAGCAAUCCCAACUCUGCAGCAGAAGCAAUUGCAAGUAUGUCAAGUAAUUAGAAAUGGGAAAUUUGCAGCGACCUUGCCAGAGACGACGUCUUGGGAGAAGGCGAGGAUGCUGUCGAGCGCGGUCUCGAUCUUGUCGCGCAGCCAGGAGUUGGGCGCGAGGGCCGGGUUGCGGAGCCAGUAGUGCCCCACCAUGCGGCCCUCGUCGGGGUUGGCGAUGGCGCCCUUCUCGAGGUCCCGCAUGGCGGCGAAGGCGCGCUGCAUCCGCGGCUCCAUCUGCUGCAGGAACUCCUCCGUGAACCCCAUCCGGCUGACGUCGACGAAGAGGCCGAGUUCCUUGUGCUGGUAGAGCCACUCGACGUAGCGCUCCCACAGCUUGAUUGGGUCCUUCUCCACCGCGCGGCAGCCGCCGCUGCCGUUCUCCGCCCUGGAGCCCAGCGGCCGGGCCGGGGUCGGGGCGGAGUCGGAGGAGCUGGACGAGCGGGAGAGGUCGGCGAUGGAGUGGGGCGCGCGGAGGCGGAGGUGGGAGGGGCGGAGCAGGAGGUGCCGCCGCAGCCGCAGCCGGCACGCGGCGGACGAGGGCGGCGCCGCCGCGCCGGAGAUGGACGCCAUCUCCGCCCGGAGUCGUCGCAGCAGGUAGCGGUGGCGGCGUGGGCCCCUCGCUUGGUCCACCUCACGGGCUCACGCGCCUCCUAUGCGAGGGUUUAGUUUUGGGGGAAGGAGUCCACGAGGUGGAGUUGGUGGCCUCGCUGCCUCGCUGGGCUUGGCUUUAUUUGGGAGAGGAAGACGAAGGCCGCCCUAAAAAAAACAGAGAGAAAAAAGAAAAGGGAAGACGAAGGCGGACGUCAACCGCGUCACCUGGGUGCCCCACCCGUCACCCACCCCACCUGCCAGAGGUGGGCUCGGUACCACGGGGGGACGAUGCAUUUUCACCAGGGAGGGGGUGGUCGCACGUGUGGGGGAGGUGAGGCACGCUGUCGCCUGUCGCCGGCCGGGGUCGAGGGAAAAAUCGGAACAGGAACGGCGAGGUGGUGGCUGGCUGCGGCUGCGCGCAUCGCGCGUGGGCCCGGGGAUCUUUCCGUGAGGCCGUGAGGGGGACGGGCCGGGUACGGGACAAACGAGGAGUUCCAAUUCUUGCCAAGCCAGCUUGGGUUACAAUUCUUGCCCGCACGGGCAGGAGGAUGUUUGGUUUCACGGACUAAAAUUUAGAAGUUGUUUGGAGGUUAGGGGUUAAAGUUUAGCUCUUUGAAUGUUCGGAUGCUAAUUAAAAGAGCUAAAUAUGGGCUAAUUAUAAAACUAAUUGCAGAAAAUUAAUUACAGAAGCUCUGGGCUAAUUCACGAGACGAAUCUAUUAAACAUAAUUAAUCUAUCAUUAGCAAAUGGUUACUGUAGCACCACAUUGUCAAAUCAUGGACUAAUUAGGCUUAAUGGAUUCGUCUCAUGAAUUAGCAUCCAUCUGUGCAAUUAGUUUUGUAAUUAGCCUAUAUUUAAUACUCUUAAUUAGUAUCCAAACAUCCGAUGUGAUAGGGGCUAAAGUUUAACCGCUGGGAGACAAACAAGCCCUUAGUCCAGGUCAUAUUGAAUGUUUAGAUACUAAUUAAGAGUAUUAAAUAUACAAUAAUUACAAAACCAAUCGCACAGGUGGAGGCUAAUUCGCGAGACGAAUCUAUUAAAGCUAAUUAAUCCAUAAUUAACACACACAUUUACUGUAGCAUCACAUUAUCAAAUCAUGGACAAAUAGAUUUAAUAGAUUCGCCUCGCGAAUUAACCUCCAUAUGUACAAUUGGUUUAUAAUUAAUCUAUAUUUAAUAUUCCUAAUUAGUGUGUAAACCACACAGGAGCUCGCGGAUAUUUGCGCCUCGCGUCCGUGUUUUCUUGCGUCUCAAAAUUGGCUGGUCUCGGGCUCGUCGACGGCGACCCCGGCGGAGGAGGCGAACAGAGCAAUCGCCGUUCUCUGCUAUCGUAAAAAACUUGGACGAUGGUGGCCGUGGGAUUGUGGUCUGAUAUCGACGGCACUUUUACGCGUGUUUUUUUGUGGCCAGCAAUUUUGAUGGCACUUGCGCCAAUUCACGGGCCUCGGGGCCUGCCAAGCUGGGUCCACUUCCGCUAGGUUUUCUUUUUGUUGUUGUUUCGAACACAGCUGUUUUUCGCAGUACUUAUGGGACUCGAACUGUUCCAGGGGUAACUCUUGCAUUCGAGACAAACCUUUGGUCUCACUGAUAAUCUAGUACACCUUUUGUCAAUAGUUUAUGGUGGAUCUUAUCUGCUAAUUGCCCCGUCUGUAGUGGUCAGCCCACCGCGACAGAUCAUACACUUGCUGCCUCAUGCAAACGCUAACGGCCGUUUAGUUCUGUCUGAUUGCCUCCUCCCUAACCUGACCGGCUAACUGAUCCCUUCCGUAUCCCAAAUGCUUCACGGCUCUCGAAAGAAAGAACAUGCUUCAUGCUGCACCAGGCACCCACUACGCUUCUCCUUUGACCCUUAGCUUCCUGCAAGCUCCAAGGGUCAAACACGUAACUGUAGGCAAGACCGGACACCAAACACCGGAAGUCCCUUCCACGGAGCAGCCGGGCUGGGUUGUUUGGAGUAGGGGGCUAAAUUUUAGUCCCAUCACGAAUGUUUGGACACUAAUUAGGAGUAGUAAACAUAGACUAAUUACAAAACUAAUUACACAACCCCUAGGCUAAAUCGCGAGCAGCCGGGCUGGGGUUGUUUGGAGGAGGGGGCUAAAUUUUAGUCCCGUCACAUCGAAUGUUUGGACACUAAUUAGGAGUAGUAAACAUAGACUAAUUACAAAACUAAUUACACAACCCCUAGGCUAAAUCGCGAGACGAAUCUAUUAAGCCUAAUUAGUCCAUGAUUUGACAAUAUGAUGCUACAGUCACCAUUCACUAAUGAUGGAUUAAUUAGUCUUAAUAGAUUCGUCUUAUGAUUUAACCUAGGGGUUCUGCAAUUAGUUUUGUAAUAAGCUUAUAUUUAGUCCUCCUAAUUAGUCUUCAAACAUCCGUGACAGGACUAAAAUUUAGCCUCCUCCUCCCAAACACAGUAGGAGCAACGGAACAAGAACACUUUUUACAAGCAGAUUACUGCAGCUGCUGUGGCUGCAACUGCUGCAGCCACCCAGCAACAGCUACAGGCGCUGCAGCAGCAUGCCAGCAGCCGCUUUUUACAAGCAGAUUACUGUCCUAUGAGUAAAGAAAGAAAAGCAAUCUGAUAGGCUUUUUUCUUUUUUGGAAAACAUGUGCUCUAGCUGUGCAGCCGAUCGGCUUGCAUGCAGCAGCAGCCGCAGCAGCAGCUGUCGAAGAAGCACAAGCGAGCAGGGACGGGCGGCGGCGAGCGGCGGCAAAAACUACAUUUCAGCACCAACCAAAUCGUAAGACGGGUCAGAGGAGCCUAGGCACAGCUCAAAAUUGACAGGUACUGCACCCAU